UGGCGCCUACCUGCUUUCGAAUACCCUGGUGUGGAAGCAACCCGCCAGCCAGCCCGGCCAGACCGCGGGAGUGUUCGUAAUCCCGCUGCCGAACCCGCGCACCUUCGGGCGAUUCGUCUCGCUCCAGAACCGGCCCCUGCCCGGCACCAGCCCCUGGGACCAGGCGCUGCAGGUCAUCGAGAUGGAGGUGUACGGCGUGGCCCUGGGUGCGUGUGGGCCCCGGGUUUGAGCACGGGGGUUUCGGGGGUGGGUGCGUGUGGGCCCCGGGUUUGAGCGCGGGGGUUUCGGGGGUGGGUGCGUGUGGGCCCUGGAUUUGAGCGCGGGGUUCGGGGGUGGGUGCGUGUGGGCCCCGGGUGUGAGCGCGGGGGUUUCGGGGGUGGGUGCGUGUGGGCCCUGGAUUUGAGCGCGGGGUUCGGGGGUGGGUGCGUGUGGGCCCUGCUGGGUUUGAGCGCGGGGGUUUCGGGGGUGGGUGCGUGUGGGCCCCGGGUUUGAGCGCGGGGGUUUCGGGGGUGGGUGCGUGUGGGCCCUGGAUUUGAGCGCGGGGUUCGGGGGUGGGUGCGUGUGGGCCCCGGGUGUGAGCGCGGGGGUUUCGGGGGUGGGUGCGUGUGGGCCCUGGAUUUGAGCGCGGGGUUCGGGGGUGGGUGCGUGUGGGCCCUGCUGGGUUUGAGCGCGGGGUUCGGGGGGGGGUGCGUGUGGGCCCUGGGUUAGAGCGCGGUGUUCGGGGGUGGGUGCGUGUGGGCAGUGGGUGCAGACUGCAGAGAGGCGGGCACAUUGGGCGCAGGGCGCAGGGGAGGGAUGGGAUGGGAUGGGGGCAGUGUCGACGGGACGUUCGCAAGGCGCGCCAGCCAUCCAUCAGGCGUGCCAAUCCGGCCGAGCGACCCUGUACCUACAGCCCAUACCCAGUCCACACACUCAUCCGUUAACAUGGACCGCCGUGGCCUUGACCCGCUGCUCCAGGCACCGCCCCGCCACUGCUGCCACAGCUGGCAAACGCGUUCGUGGACGACGGCAGUAGCGCAUCGAACGCCACCACUGCCGGCGACGCCACGACUGCUAUUGCCGGCGUGCUGGCGGGGCGGCCCGAGGUGGGGCUGAACCUGGCCGGCGGCGUCAUUAGCUUCAGCGGCACCGUGGACAGUGAGUGGGGAGAGCGGGCAGAGCGGUGGGCAGAGAGUUCCAAUGCAGCACAAGAUCCUCGGGGCUCGGGCACAUCGCAAGCAUUCUUGCAUGCUGUCACACCGCGGCCCCACCGCACGUACGGCAGCGCAUUUGUUGUGCCAACCGCCAACCGCCAACCGCCGCGGGGACGUGUACCUGUACACACACACAGGCUAUCUGUGGAGCGACGCCGACGCCGCGGUGUACUGCCGCCAGCUGGGGUACGGCGGCGGCGGGCUGGCGUACACGGGUGCGGUGUACGGCGCCGCCACCUCGUCGUACAUGCUUACAGCGGUGGCGUGUGGCGGGGGCGAGGCGGCGAUUGGCGCCUGCACCGCGCAGCCGUUGGUGUACACGGGCGCCUGGUCUCCGCAGGUGUGUGGAUUGUGGAUUGGAAGGAAAGCGGCGUUGGUACCGGGACUCAUGGCAUGAACACGUUGUUGUCAAUGUUGUUGUAUGCCCCUGUCAUGCAGCGACGCAGGAAACCUCGAGUCGCCAACUAGGGCCGGUUGCUUUGGGGGGGGGGGGGGCUGGGGGGCACUUCGUGACACGACUGGGACUGCUUGCAUAUAUGUAGCGGGGCGAUCGACGCCCGCCGUUGACUGUGUGUUCCCGCCGAUUGCCCCUGCCGCGCGCUCGCCGUUUCCCUUGCUUUACUGGGUGCCUCGACACCGAACCGACUGACGGCGCGGCUGCUGUUGUGGCCCCGCACAGGACGCGGCGGGUGUGCUGUGCUACAAGGGCGUCGACCCAGAUGGUGAGGCGCCGGCCGCAACCCACUCGCGGGCCCACCAGGACUCCUAGGGCGCUCCUUGCUUGCCCCCGACACCUGCCACACAAUAUCCGACGUCUUGCAGUAUGCCCUGCGACGUCCAUCUACCUGCCGUAACCUUUCCUCUGGCUACGGCUUUGCUUCUGCCUCAAUAAUCAUGAGUGUAACCCCGAUGAUGGGACUUUUCUUUAUGCCCGAGGCACAUAACAUCACCCUUCCCCGCUCGUUCAUUUCCUGUCGCUCGCGCAGCCUACUGCAGACGCGCCGCCCAGCUGCUGCCCAGCUACAGCCCCUCCACGAGCAGCUUCACCAAUAGCAGUAGCAGCAGCUACAACCGGACCGCUGACUUGCAGCAGCGUGCGGCGGCGUGCGGCGAGCUGAUCGGCCUGGCGGCGGGCGUAACGGCGCUACUCACCUACCCCACCUACCCCUGGCAGCGCCUUCCCUACGACUCCGCGCGGCAGCUGCCCUGCUUCAACUCCAGCGGCCUCAACACCGCCGCCGCCGCCUGGCUGAGCCGUUGGCAGGCCGCGACGGCCGAAGCCGGCUGCGACCUGCUUCCUCACGACUGGAUCCGGCGGGCGUUGGCCGGCCUCCCCUCCGCGCCACUGCCGCCGCCGCCGGCUGGCGCCGCCACGCCGCCGCCGCCGCCGUCACCGCAGCCGCCGUUUUCGGGCGUGCCUUGGCCGCCGCUGCCGCCGGCGCCGCCCGGCGCGCAGGACCCAGACGCCACCUGCCCGGCGGCGGUGGGGGUGUGGCCGGCGGCGGCGGACCGCGCCGCCGCCGCCGCCGCCGCCGGCCCGCGCGAGCUGCGAACGCUUCCGGGGCCCGGCACCUACAUGCGCCUGGACGGCCUGUUGCUCCCCUCCAACGUCAGCGCCGACGUGCACGCGACGCCGCUGGAUUGGGCCUGCGCCACCGCCAAAGCCAAGGCUCGCAGCGACCCCCGUACCUUUGAGAACUACUUCACGCGCUACGGCAGCUCCCUGCUGGCCGACGGCAGUAGCACCAGCGGCAGCGACGGCAGUAGCAGCGGCGCGCUUGCCGGAGACGCGCUGCUGGCGCUGCCGCCGCCCAAUGCGACGGAGGAGGCGGCGGCCGCCGCCAAGGCGGCCUGGGCGGCGGCGGCGGCGCCGUUUGCCAGCCUGUGGUCUCCGCCCGACCUGCUGAACUCGAGUGCACUGGCGCAGGCGCUGCUGGUUGACCGGCCGGCGUGGCUGCCCUUCCGCACCGUCAACAUCACACACCUGGUGUCCGGUGAGCUGUUGUGGAUGCAUUGCUGUGCUGUAGUGGGUGCUGGGUUUGGGAAUGCUGAGGAAUUUAGCGGGCUGAUGACUGAUGAACGCCGACCUUUUUGCGUCGCUAAGCACGGUAUGCGCCGAAGGUAGCUACUUCUUCCCCAUGCGUUACCUGCUCAUGCGUGUCACACGUGUCGCCCCCUCCCUCCCCCUGACCCCGCUCCCUCCCGGUCACCCUGCUCCCUCCCCCUGACCCCGCUGCCGCCGCCAUUCACCCCCAGUGCUGGCGCAGUUCAGCCGCCCGGGCGGCAUCGACUUGCUAUCCAGCGGCGUGCUUGACGGAGCCUUCCGCAUCGUACUGCAGUCCCUUGGCGGAGGCGGCAACCCCGGCCCUGGGGACGGAGGAGGUGACGACCAGGCGGCGCCGCCGCCGGCGGCGCCGCCGGAGCCCGGCGCAGCUCUGCCGCCGCCGCCGUUCCAGUGGACGCUGGCGCUGAGCGACAGCGGCAGCAGCGGCAGUAGCAGCACCCCUAGCGACGGCGCCGCGCCGCCGCCGCCUGCCGGCAGUAGCAGCGCCAACGGCAGUAGCAGUGGCAGUAGCGACCUGCAGCGGGCGGGCAUAAACGGCGGCGGCGGCGAUGCCGGUAUCGACUGGGGCGAUGCGUUGGAUACCGUGCUGCCGCUGCAGUCUGUGUGUGUGGAGUACGACUCGUCUUGGGCUGGGGGGCGGGCCAGCACCCUCCUCGGCUUUCUGGGCAGCGACGCCGCCGCGGCUCGGGCCUGGAACGACAGCAGUGCCGGCCCCGCCUCUACCACUGCUACUGCCGCUGGCGCUGCUGCUACUGCCGCGGCGGGGGGCUGGAGCGGGCUCCCCUGGGGACGUGUGGUACGGCAGGAUGGUGCACAGCUGUACUACUGCGCAGAGCGGCGGCAGCUGCGGGUGCGUGUGCGCGUGUGUGUGCGUGUGCGUGUCCAUGUGUCAGGUGCUGUCUAGGGGGUGGGCGGUUUUGCCCUCCCCAACUCCUUAACAAAUCAUCCAUGUAACCCCAACCCCUCCCUUGCGAUCCCUCCCUUGCGACCCUGCCCACCGCCUCACUCGCCAGUCCCGCCUGGUCAUCGGCGGCCUCCGUAUCACCGACCUGCAGCUGGGUGGCGCCGCCGCUGACGUGGUGGCGGCGCUGCUGGCGCCCGCGCCGCCGCCGCCGGCCCAGCAGCAGCAGCCGUCGAAUGCCACGUCGAGUGCGCCGCCUCCGCCGCCGCCUGGCAGUAACGCGGCGGCGGCGGCGGCGGCGGUGCCGGCAGCCAACCUCGCAUAUUUGGACCUGUCGGGUGGGUGCGUGUGUGUUUGUGUUUGGGAAGUGCGUGUGUGUGUGUGUGUAUUAAUAAGCACAAAACAGAGCCAGGCGUUUGUGUAUGUUUGUGUUAGAGGCGUGCGUGCAUGCGUGUGUUUGGCGGUAGCGUGCAAGCGUGCGCCCGGUGGGUGCAGUGUGGGAAUGUGCGGCAUGCGCACAGCACCGCGUGUGGGUGCAUACAUGGAAGGGCCCAUGGGUCUACGGGUUAACGUUCGUGUGUUUUGGUCCCGCCACCCCCACCCCUGUCUGCGCAUCUUUGCAACCCGCCCCGCCCCCAUCGUCGGUAACGCUUCAUGCUCCGCAAGAUGGUCUACCGUCUACCACUUCCUUAACCAAUCAUGAAUGUAACCCCCGUACACCCACAGGCAACGCGCUAACGGGUCUGCUUCCGCCGCUGCCCAUCCCCGUCAUUAACCUGAACCUGUCGUAUAACGCCCUGUCCGGCGACCUAAGAGCGCAGCUCAUCACACCGGCAGUAGCACCACCACCCGCAGCCGCCGCCGGCCCCAACGGCAGUAGCAGCGCCGCAGCCGCCAACGCCAACGCCUCCGCUCCCAUCAACAGCAGUAGCAGUAGCAGUGACACUGGCAGUGGCAGUAGCAGCAGUGGCAGUAGCAGCAGUGGCAGUAGCAGCAGGGGUUUCGCGCUACUGCCGGCCUCCACCUUUGCCUCCACGCUGGUCCUGGACCUGGGCUAUAACCAGCUGGGCGGCCGGCUGCCGGCGGCGGCGGAGGCGGCGCCCGGCACCGCCUGGCGCACACUUCUGGACACAGCGGCGCGCCUGGACCUCAGCGGUGAGAAGCAGGGGGGAUGGGGGGAUGGGGAUGGGGAGUGGGGCUGGGGAGUGGGGGUGAGGGGCGGGGGGAUGGGGCGAGGGUGAGGGGCGGGGGUGAGGGGCGGGGGGAUGGGGCGGGGGUGAGGGGCGGGGGGAUGGGGAGUGGGGCCGUACCUUGUGAUCAGGCGUAAAGUUUGUAUGUGGCGGGGAAGGGGCUGUAAAUACCCCGCGUGGACCCCGCCCAUACACGCAGGCCACUGCUUCACCCAUAUAGGCAGGCUUGCGCACUUGGUCGCACCGGGUUAACCCUUGUCCAACUUCCGAUCCCCAUCCCCACACCAGGCAACCGCUUCACCGGCCCGCUGCCGCCCGACUGGGCUCCCCUCCUGGCCCAGAUGGAUCUGGUGGUCAGCCGCAACCCGGGGCUCACCGGCGGCGUGCCGGCCGAGUGGUUGGCGGCGGUCCGGUCGGCUGGGCGGUACGGCUACCUGAUAGACGUGACGGGGUGCGCGGGUCUGACAGGCGAAUUCAACAGCACGGCCGAGUUCGACCUGAUGCGGGUGGGUGUGGGAGGGGUGGGGGAGUGGGGUGUGGGAGGGGGGGGAGGGGAGGGAGGGAGGGGGGGGGAGGGGAGGGAGGGAGGGGGGAGGGAGGGGGGAGGGAGUGGGGAGGGAGGGAGGGGGGAGGGAGGGGGGAGGGAGGGAGGGGGGAGGGGGGCAGAAGGGGGUGUGCGAACUGAGGGGUGGCAGUGCGAAUGGCGGGCUGGUUGAGUGCUGGGAGCGCGCGUGCGUCGAUGCAGCGGCGGUGGCGGUUGCCACACCCAUCACCCGCCCACGUCCCCACAAAACCCCAUGCCCUCCGAUCCUCACAUACUCUCAUCUCCCACUCAUCUCCCACCCCCAUUUCCCAACGGCUCCGCCUGCAGUCUUCAGUGCAUCCCGUACCGCUUUUCCAACCAUCUUUGCAACCCCCACCUCCCACCCACCCCCACCCACCCCCCACCCCGGCAGGUAUCGGGUACGCAGCUGCAGCUGGACUGGGGCGCGCUGCCGCCGAGGGAGCGCGACUGGGCCUACGUCAUAAACCGCGUGGCGCGCGGGCACAUGGAGUUCGCGCAGGUGUGCGUGNNNNNNNNNNNNNNNNNNNNNNNNNNNNNNNNNNNNNNNNNNNNNNNNNNNNNNNNNNNNNNNNNNNNNNNNNNNNNNNNNNNNNNNNNNNNNNNNNNNNNNNNNNNNNNNNNNNNNNNNNNNNNNNNNNNNNNNNNNNNNNNNNNNNNNNNNNNNNNNNNNNNNNNNNNNNNNNNNNNNNNNNNNNNNNNNNNNNNNNNNNNNNNNNNNNNNNNNNNNNNNNNNNNNNNNNNNNNNNNNNNNNNNNNNNNNNNNNNNNNNNNNNNNNNNNNNNNNNNNNNNNNNNNNNNNNNNNNNNNNNNNNNNNNNNNNNNNNNNNNNNNNNNNNNNNNNNNNNNNNNNNNNNNNNNNNNNNNNNNNNNNNNNNNNNNNNNNNNNNNNNNNNNNNNNNNNNNNNNNNNNNNNNNNNNNNNNNNNNNNNNNNNNNNNNNNNNNNNNNNNNNNNNNNNNNNNNNNNNNNNNNNNNNNNNNNNNNNNNNNNNNNNNNNNNNNNNNNNNNNNNNNNNNNNNNNNNNNNNNNNNNNNNNNNNNNNNNNNNNNNNNNNNNNNNNNNNNNNNNNNNNNNNNNNNNNNNNNNNNNNNNNNNNNNNNNNNNNNNNNNNNNNNNNNNNNNNNNNNNNNNNNNNNNNNNNNNNNNNNNNNNNNNNNNNNNNNNNNNNNNNNNNNNNNNNNNNNNNNNNNNNNNNNNNNNNNNNNNNNNNNNNNNNNNNNNNNNNNNNNNNNNNNNNNNNNNNNNNNNNNNNNNNNNNNNNNNNNNNNNNNNNNNNNNNNNNNNNNNNNNNNNNNNNNNNNNNNNNNNNNNNNNNNNNNNNNNNNNNNNNNNNNNNNNNNNNNNNNNNNNNNNNNNNNNNNNNNNNNNNNNNNNNNNNNNNNNNNNNNNNNNNNNNNNNNNNNNNNNNNNNNNNNNNNNNNNNNNNNNNNNNNNNNNNNNNNNNNNNNNNNNNNNNNNNNNNNNNNNNNNNNNNNNNNNNNNNNNNNNNNNNNNNNNNNNNNNNNNNNNNNNNNNNNNNNNNNNNNNNNNNNNNNNNNNNNNNNNNNNNNNNNNNNNNNNNNNNNNNNNNNNNNNNNNNNNNNNNNNNNNNNNNNNNNNNNNNNNNNNNNNNNNNNNNNNNNNNNNNNNNNNNNNNNNNNNNNNNNNNNNNNNNNNNNNNNNNNNNNNNNNNNNNNNNNNNNNNNNNNNNNNNNNNNNNNNNNNNNNNNNNNNNNNNNNNNNNNNNNNNNNNNNNNNNNNNNNNNNNNNNNNNNNNNNNNNNNNNNNNNNNNNNNNNNNNNNNNNNNNNNNNNNNNNNNNNNNNNNNNNNNNNNNNNNNNNNNNNNNNNNNNNNNNNNNNNNNNNNNNNNNNNNNNNNNNNNNNNNNNNNNNNNNNNNNNNNNNNNNNNNNNNNNNNNNNNNNNNNNNNNNNNNNNNNNNNNNNNNNNNNNNNNNNNNNNNNNNNNNNNNNNNNNNNNNNNNNNNNNNNNNNNNNNNNNNNNNNNNNNNNNNNNNNNNNNNNNNNNNNNNNNNNNNNNNNNNNNNNNNNNNNNNNNNNNNNNNNNNNNNNNNNNNNNNNNNNNNNNNNNNNNNNNNNNNNNNNNNNNNNNNNNNNNNNNNNNNNNNNNNNNNNNNNNNNNNNNNNNNNNNNNNNNNNNNNNNNNNNNNNNNNNNNNNNNNNNNNNNNNNNNNNNNNNNNNNNNNNNNNNNNNNNNNNNNNNNNNNNNNNNNNNNNNNNNNNNNNNNNNNNNNNNNNNNNNNNNNNNNNNNNNNNNNNNNNNNNNNNNNNNNNNNNNNNNNNNNNNNNNNNNNNNNNNNNNNNNNNNNNNNNNNNNNNNNNNNNNNNNNNNNNNNNNNNNNNNNNNNNNNNNNNNNNNNNNNNNNNNNNNNNNNNNNNNNNNNNNNNNNNNNNNNNNNNNNNNNNNNNNNNNNNNNNNNNNNNNNNNNNNNNNNNNNNNNNNNNNNNNNNNNNNNNNNNNNNNNNNNNNNNNNNNNNNNNNNNNNNNNNNNNNNNNNNNNNNNNNNNNNNNNNNNNNNNNNNNNNNNNNNNNNNNNNNNNNNNNNNNNNNNNNNNNNNNNNNNNNNNNNNNNNNNNNNNNNNNNNNNNNNNNNNNNNNNNNNNNNNNNNNNNNNNNNNNNNNNNNNNNNNNNNNNNNNNNNNNNNNNNNNNNNNNNNNNNNNNCCCGGCCCCCUGCCGUACAUGCCCACACACCCCAUCCUCCUCCUCCUGUGUGUAUGUAUGCAUGCGGUGCAGGUGCGCUACAGCCGCCCCCGCUCCUACACCGACAUCCUCACCGGCCGCUACAGCCUGGCACCCAGCGACAUCGAGGUACUGAUAGGGGGGAGGGGGGGCGUAUGUGAGUGUGUGGGGGGGAAGGGGGGAAAGGGCGUGGGGGAGGGGCGUGGUUACGCCAUUUCUCUGGCACGGGGGGCGGGGGAGAUGAUUGCAGGGGGGGAGAGGGAUGGCGGGUAGGCGAGGUGGUUGGUGCACAGCAGAUGGGGACCAGGCCGAGGGGCGUUGGUACGGGAGCCGUUGCAUGUGCUGCCCGGGCCCUUUUGAUGCGCUGCAUCCCAACGCAUCCGGAAAUCCGUAAGCCACCCACCCAUACCCCAGGCUUGCAAGGAUCACCUCUCAUGACUCAUGCGCUGUAACCGUAACUGAAACUGUAACUCCCCCCACUCAUCCAAACUCAAAUCACAAACAUGCUGGCCACACACAGGCGAUAUGUACGGAGAUGUACAACACGCAGGAGGCCCUGCUCAACGUGGCGGCCGUGAGGCCCGGCCUCCUCGGCAGUAGCAACCAGCUACUGCCCGGCUCGGCGGGAGCAGCAGCAGGCGGCGGCAGUAGCAGCAGCAACGGCAGUAGCAGCGGCGGCAGUAGCAGUGGCGAGGGCGGCGGGGGGGUUCUGGGUGACACUGACGAUCCCUGGCCUAUCCUGCGCGACCUGCGGGGGGUGCAUGACAGCUACAAGGCCUGGCAGCCCGACCCUACCGUGUGGUGCUACGGAGGCGAGGCGGAGCGGGUGAGGAUGCUGUGGGGGCGGGGGGAGGGGGGCGGGGUGGUGGUUGGUGGUUGGUGGUUGAGGGGCGGUGUUGGGUGGUUGGGUGGGGGGUGGUGUUGGUGGGGGAAAUGGUUGGGAUCAGGACCCGGGCGUGCGUGUGUUUGUGCUUGUGCGUGUGCGUGUGGUGUGCUUCGGUGGCCAAUGCAUGGCAGAAGCUGCGACACGUGUGGCACACGCUCCCGCGGCCCACGCGAGCAAGUGCGAUUCAGGACACGAGUCAUGCGCAAUGAUGCAUGCCUGCAAAAAAGCAAUAAAAUAACAGGAAGUCGACAUGCUGACUCGAUGUGGGUCUUGUCCCUUACACACGCUCUGGCGAGUGCGUGGCAGGCACCUCGCCUCGCUUCACCCCACCUUGCCUCCUGCUACUGCUGCUGCCAUUGUGCUACUGCCAUCGUGCUGCUGCUACUGCUACUGCCGCUGCCGCUCUGCAGGUGUCCAUUGUGCUGUCCAUCUGGAUCACCGCCGGCGUCAUUUCGGCGGCGGCGCUGCUGCUGGCCCUGGCCAUAGACCUCGCCCACCGCUGCUCCGGCUGCUGCGCCGCCCGGCAGGAACGCCGGCAGCGUCGCCGCUGGCUGCAGCAGGAGCAGCAGCAGCAGCAGCAGAAAGGCAUGGAGGAGGCGCUGCUGCCAGGCAGCCCCAGCCACCCCCCACCCCGGCAGGUAUCGGGUACGCAGCUGCAGCUGGACUGGGGCGCGCUGCCGCCGAGGGAGCGCGACUGGGCCUACGUCAUAAACCGCGUGGCGCGCGGGCACAUGGAGUUCGCGCAGGUGUGCGUGUGUGGGGGGGGGUGUAGGGGGUGUGGGGGGGGUUGGCGUGUGUCAAUAAACACGAGUAGGGGGAAACGUAGACUGUGUAUGCAAUGCUGGAGCGGUCGUAUACUUAGUGUUCAUGUGUGUGUGGGGGGUGGGGGGUGGGGUUGUAAAUACCAGCCCAAACUAAACCAAAACCAACGAAAACGAGAGUGCAGGCAGAGGCGUUAGUUGCGAGCGAUAAUACUUAUGGGAUGUGGGUCGAGGCGUCGUGGGGCAGCAGGACGAGCGGCGCCGGCGAUAAAUGUCGCCGCCCGGGCUCGGGGGUGGGGGGUGGGGGUGGGGUGGUGGUGGUGUGUGUGCGUGUGUGCGUGUGUGCGUGUGUGCGCGUGUGCGUGCGUGCGUGUGUGUGUGUGUGUGUGUGUGUGUGUGUGUGUGUGUGUGUGUGUGUGUGUGUGUGUGUGUGUGUGUGUGUGUGUGUGUGUGUGUGUGUGUGUGUGUGUGUGUGUGUGUGUGUGUGUGUGUGUGUGUGUGUGUGUGUGUGUGUGUGUGUGUGUGUGUGUGUGUUNNNNNNNNNNNNNNNNNNNNNNNNNNNNNNNNNNNNNNNNNNNNNNNNNNNNNNNNNNNNNNNNNNNNNNNNNNNNNNNNNNNNNNNNNNNNNNNNNNNNNNNNNNNNNNNNNNNNNNNNNNNNNNNNNNNNNNNNNNNNNNNNNNNNNNNNNNNNNNNNNNNNNNNNNNNNNNNNNNNNNNNNNNNNNNNNNNNNNNNNNNNNNNNNNNNNNNNNNNNNNNNNNNNNNNNNNNNNNNNNNNNNNNNNNNNNNNNNNNNNNNNNNNNNNNNNNNNNNNNNNNNNNNNNNNNNNNNNNNNNNNNNNNNNNNNNNNNNNNNNNNNNNNNNNNNNNNNNNNNNNNNNNNNNNNNNNNNNNNNNNNNNNNNNNNNNNNNNNNNNNNNNNNNNNNNNNNNNNNNNNNNNNNNNNNNNNNNNNNNNNNNNNNNNNNNNNNNNNNNNNNNNNNNNNNNNNNNNNNNNNNNNNNNNNNNNNNNNNNNNNNNNNNNNNNNNNNNNNNNNNNNNNNNNNNNNNNNNNNNNNNNNNNNNNNNNNNNNNNNNNNNNNNNNNNNNNNNNNNNNNNNNNNNNNNNNNNNNNNNNNNNNNNNNNNNNNNNNNNNNNNNNNNNNNNNNNNNNNNNNNNNNNNNNNNNNNNNNNNNNNNNNNNNNNNNNNNNNNNNNNNNNNNNNNNNNNNNNNNNNNNNNNNNNNNNNNNNNNNNNNNNNNNNNNNNNNNNNNNNNNNNNNNNNNNNNNNNNNNNNNNNNNNNNNNNNNNNNNNNNNNNNNNNNNNNNNNNNNNNNNNNNNNNNNNNCGCCGCCCGGGCUCGGUGACGCGCACAACAGCACAAGACAGGCACGCGGACGCGACAAGCAAAACCCACGACUUACCUGGCGACCAGGAAAGCAGCCCCGACGCCAGGCAGGGAGCGUCGGGCCAGGAGCACGACAUGUGGGAAAGGGGCAAGGCAAAAAUCGGAAGGGCAGGGCACAGUGAAAUGGCCGAGGCGUGUCGGCAGUAGGAUAAAGAAGGGAUAACAAAGACAAGACUACACACAAGCCCAGGCGGCGAAAGAGGCAGAGAGGGCGUGAGGCAAGGGUUAAGAGGUAGAUGUGGGUGGCAUGGGGACCGGUUAGGGGAGAGAUGACGGGGUGCUGGGCAGUGUGCGGGCCGCGUACGGCUCCCCACAGGCACUGCCAGCCUGGAUGCCCCGCACGCAGACGGGGCACCCAGAUGCAGGGAUGGUUAGUCGGGAGGAAGGGCGGGGCAGGCAGGGGGCGCGCACAGGCAGGUGACACGGCGGGCCAUCAGGGAACGUCAUCGGGGGUUGUGCGGAGGGGGGGCUGGCGUGCGUGUGUGCGUGUGUGUGUGCACGGGCGUGAUUGUGUGGGGGGGGGGCGGGGGGGGGGCGGGGGUUGUAAAUACCAUCCCAAACCAACCAAACCAAGCCAAACUAGUGGAGCGGGGGAGUGUUGGGGGGCUAAAGACCGUCUGGGGCAAGCCCCUCAACGGACCUUUCUAAAGGCAACCUGCCAAUCACUUUCAAUAAUCUUCAGUCUUCAUUACUUGUGUGGGGAGGUCACAGCUGUGGCCAGACGUUGAGCUUGAAUCAGUCAAAGUAAGUUGUGGCUUAACCAAGUUGAGGAAUGAUAACUUACUUUGACCUAUUCAAAGCUCAAGGUCUGGCCACAGCUGUGGCCUCCCCCACACUUUAUGAAGAUUGAAGAUUCCUUACGAUGAAAGAGAUGAGCAGGUUGCCUUCAGAAGGGUUUGUUAAGGGGCUUGCCCCAGACAGUCUGUACCGCCAAGGAGGCUGAGACGCCACCUCAUCCUUCACGUUGGCUUGACUCACCUUGGAUGCAAUCCCCCUCACCCCCGCACACCCCCGCACACACCCCUCACACACUCCUACACACAGAUCUACUUGGCUGCCUACAAGGGCUGGUCCGCCAAGCCCGCCCCCGGUGCGUGGCGGGGACCUGACUGUGUGUGUGUGUGGGGGGGGGGGUGUUCGUGACGAAUGUGUGUGCGUGACGGAUGUGUGUGCGUGGACGCUGUGUGUGCUGCGCCUUUGUUGAUGGUUUUUCUUACGCCCUCUAUGUGCUCCCAUUGCUCUCUUAUGCUCUCUAUUCUGCAUCGCAAACACAGUCUUUGUUGAUAAUUUAUCUCAUGCUCUCUAACGCAAACUCACACGCAGGCGUGUUCAUGGCGCUCAUCAUCGCGGGCAAUCUAGUGGCGCACUGGGUCACCCGUGUGGUACACAGCCGCCGCCACCACCGCCGCCACCCGUACGGUGACGAAGAAGAUUACGACGCCUACGCCUUCAACACCCCCAUCACCGAUGGCGUUAAUAACAACAACGCUAACAAUUUCAACAACAAGAACAAGAACAGCACCAGCAGCAAUGUCUUCCAGCCGCCAGGGGUGGACGUAAUUGCGAACAUGGGCGUUGCCAAGGACGGAAAAGGCGGCGGGAAAGACGGCGGCGGCGACGGCGGCGGCGGAAAUGGAUCUGGAUCUGGAUCCAGGCCAGGGCGUGACGAGCCGCUACCGCCGUGUGAGCUGGCGCUGUUUGUGAUCAUUGGUCUGGUCACGUCUCCCCUGGGCGUGGUGAUUGAGGUGAGAGGAGAAAGGGAGGGAAGGUUAUGUGCCCGGGCCCAAUGGAAAAAUUUCCAUCAUCAAAAUGUAAGACGAGCGCGGGCGGGCGGGAGGGAGGGAGCCCCAUGUGCCACCGUAGUUGUCCAUGCAUGCGUUUCGCACAGGGAUGGAUGGUGUGCGUGUGCCUGUUCACGUAACAGCAUCCUCUGCCGGUCUCCUCACCUGCUGCCUAGGGCUUGAGCCCUUCCCCACACGCUUCGUUUUGCUCCGCCGGUCGCCUGUAUUCCUCUCGGACGUGUUGCGCACAUCCCGCACGACACCCCUCCCUUCUCCUGCUUGUAUCCUGCUCCCAAUGCUUCAACCUUUCAACCCCCGGUCACUGUUUGAAUAUUCAUGUAUGACUGUACCCCCCCCCCCCCUGUACCUGCCUACGACUUCACUUCUUAAUAACCAUGAAUGUAACCCCCCACCCCCACCCCCUUCCUGUGCUCCGCCCGUUUUCGUCGGGUUUGGUGUAGUUUGGGCUGCUGGUAUCUACAACCCCUCCCCUCCCUUCCCGCACCUCUCCUCGCCUCCAGACGCUGUGGGCGGGCUACGUGCUGGUGCUGACGUGGCUGACGCUGCUGCCGGAGCUGGCCUACUGCGGCUUCUGCUGCUGCUGCUUCCAGGAGUGGGGCCCGGCGGAGCAGCGGCGGCGGCGGCGGCGCGCGAUGGACCGUCACAUCGCCUGGCUGCGGCAGUCCACGUCAUGCCUGCCGCCGCUGCUGCGGUUUGAUCUGCACGUGCAGGCCUUUGAGCGUGCGGUGGGUGGUGGGGUGCGGGUGGGGUGGUGGGGGUGGUGGGGGUGGUGGUGUGGGUGGUGGGGUAGGGUGGGGGUGUGGGUGGGGUGGGGUGCGGGGUGGUGGGGUGUUGGGGAUGUGGUGGGGUGUUGGGGAUGUGGUGGGGGUGGUGGGGGUGGGUGGGUGGUGGUGGUGGUGGGGUGUUUGGGGGUGGUGGUGGUGGGGUGGUGGGGGUGGUGGGGGUGGGGUGGUGGGGUGGUGGGGAUGGUGGUGGUGGGGGGUGUGUGGGGUGGGGUGGUGGGUGUGCAGGGAGGGGUGGGGCACGGGGGUUGGGGUGGGGUGGGUGGGGUGGGGUGGGNNNNNNNNNNNNNNNNNNNNNNNNNNNNNNNNNNNNNNNNNNNNNNNNNNNNNNNNNNNNNNNNNNNNNNNNNNNNNNNNNNNNNNNNNNNNNNNNNNNNGAGGGGAGGGGAGGGGAGGGGAGGGGAGGGGAGGGGAGGGGAGGGGAGGGGAGUGAGAGUGGGAUGGCACGACUGGGGCGGCGUUCGGCGGGUACGCUUUCUUCGUAUGCCGGAAACAUACGCACGUAGGGGUUUAACUGAUGAUUGCGCUUUGCCCGCGCUGCCCUGGCUUCAAGGCUUGCGAGUGCAGCUUGCAGUGCGGCAGUCCUGCUGCUACAUACCUGGGGUGGCCUCUCCCCUGCUGGCCUGCUGACCGGUCCUAGCCGCCACCGCCGCCGCCAUACGUGUGUGUCACCACGUUACUUCCGUGCCUGCCGCAGGUGCUGUGGCGAGUGAUCAAGCACACCAACAUGUGGGAGGUGAGUGGGCCGGCGGCCGGCCGGGUGUGUGUGUGGGGGGGGGCUGUAGAUACCAGCCCAAACUAAACCAAUCCCAAUGCGGGGCGGGGGCGGCUGGUGACUGGGUGGCAGCAGCGAUGAAGCCCCGCGGCGCUGCACGGUACUGAAGGCAGCGGGGGCAUCAUGACGCAAGCAAGCUGGCAACGCCUGUCAGGAAGGAGCACACGCAGGCGCCACCAUCACAACCCCACGCGCCGGCACACCCCUCGCACACGUCCGGCCCGCACUGCCCACAUUAGAGGUCAUGCAUGACCCCGCCAUCCCCCCCUGUCUGCCGCUUCGUCAACUUAUCAUACAUGAAUGCAACCUACCCCCCCUUAACCCUGCUGUCUGCGUCGCUACACUUCUCUUUACCAUAUUUGCCCUCCCCGCCACCCGCCCGCAGGUCAUCACAUUGGACUACAAGGGCUCCAACAACUUUGACCGCGACGUGGGGGGGCCGGAGGUGAUGGAGGUGGCGCCGCCGCCAAGUCAGCAUCAGCAGUACGGCAGCGCGGCGCGGCGGCGGACGAAUUCGUACAUAGUGGAGUUGCCGGCCGAGGCUUAGCUGCUGGGUGGAGAGUAUGUUUUGUGUGGCGGUAUGUGUGUGUGUGUGCCGGUAUGUGUGCGUGUGCGUGUGUGCUCGGAAGAUGGCUUGGCAUUGCUUCAGGCACUGACAGGUACUCGACUGUCGAUGACUGCUCGGAGGCAGCGCCGUCCAUCAGGCAGCGCCCGAUCUGAUGUGAUUGAUGCUCGCGAUCAGUUUAGGUUGGAGGCCGACGUGCGGCCCAAUCUGCUGCGUGAAGAAAUAAUGAAUGGGAGUGGUCAAACGGACACGGUUUCCAGGCAUGUGGUUGCCAAGUGGCUACACGUUGCGUUGCAUGGCAUUGAAAGACGGCGGCUAUUUCAUGAUUGGCAAGAGCUUGUGUACGGUAGGGUGCCUGCCGGGGGUGGUGGCACGUAUGGCUUGGGGGGAAGGGGUAGCCUUUCAUGGGAAACGACGUUAUUUAAUUAAAAACAUGUCUUCGCGGGAUAGCCUUUCAUGUAUGGAGAACGACGUGAGUAAUCACAAAUGCAUGAAGUGUUGGCGUCCAGGGGAGUGGGCGAACAUUGUGAGCAUGGCAGGGCCUGCGUGCAGCAGCAGCCGAGCUGGCGGCUGGAUUGCACGCGCGUGACAGAUGGGUGUGCAUGCCGCAGAGACAGCGCCGUCCUGUGUGUUUUGUUCCUGCAUUUCCGUGCAGAACAGAAUCGUGCACCUACGCUGUGGUUCUGUCAUCAACUCGGCCUCGUAUACCUAUCUGGCGCGGGUGCAUUGCGAGAAUGAAGAGGGAGUAGCAUAGCUAGCUGGGAAGCUGCAUGGAGACUGCAGGGGGGCGAAGCGUACUGCUGGUGAUGGGCAGUAGGUGAUGGGCAUCGUGUCAGUCAUGUGAUUCUUACCUAGGUUAGUGUGGGCGCGUUUACAGGUUUGCAUGUGGUAAAUCUUGCUUGCCGGCGGUGAGCCGCCACGCGCUUGUUCGUGAUGAUUCGCACUGUGCAUGCAUGAGUGCAUGCAGGCAUUCGCUCUUCAUGUCCUUCUUUGUAUCUAUGCAUGAGUCGUGCAUUGGCUCUUCAUGUCCUUCUUUGUAUCGUAUUCUGUCGGGUCCUGGCGGCUGCUCAAGCAAGCAAGCAAGCACCCAAGCAGGCGCACUCUCUACCCCAUACAGCCACGUGCGUCUACGUUGUUGUUUCCCAUUCCACAGUAACGAGAAUAAGCGGUGGCACACACAUACAGGCCCAUCGCAUCCCUCAAAGCAAGCAGUGAAGGCCGCCCGCCUCAGGAAGCUGGUGCGCUGGGACCAGAGCGGCACGCGGUGCACAGACAACAACCGAACGACACGCCAUGCUCGCCAAGCCACGCACACGCACACUCACUGUCUUACUCUAGCCUAGACACACGUCAACCUGUGACCUGCACUGGCCCGUACGCCCUGUGACGGCGAAAUGCACUGCCGGCAUACUGGCUUGACACUGGGACCACAGAGCGGUCGGUGAACAGAACGACAUAUGUACGCAUGCGACAUGCGGCGGGAUGGGGUGUGGUUCGCUGCCUGCACCGCAGCCUGCUGCACGCACCCAUCCGCCCAGCGCAGGGAUAGAUCCGCCUGGAGCCCAACCAACAAAUACGAAUUUACGAUGACCGUAUGUAUAAGCACAUGAUCAUCAUGGCACCGUAACUGCCGUGCGCAUAACUGUCCUCGCGGGCCCACGCGGUGCACGUAUGCGUAGUUCCUUCACUCGCCGGGCGUGUGGCGCUCAGCAGUAGCCAGCUGGCAUGCCGUAUGACACCUAGCUAGCUAGCUGUGGCCGGGGCGGCGAACACGCGGCGGCACUGCAGGCAGCGCCGCUGCUGCCGGCCCCAGGGCUGGCAUGGCGGCCGCCGCCGCAGGUCGCCGACGUCAGUAGUGCCGUCGCAGGAGUACAGGAUGCAGAUGACUGCGCGCGCCGUGCAGGGGAGUAAGUGGAGGGAAGGGGGCACAAUGGGAAAGGCGGGGGGAAGGCGGGGAGGACAUGUAUGGAUUCAGGCCAGUGCCUGCCGGGUCCAUUGCUGAGUCCCCAGUGCCCCACAGUACGCACCGUAUGCCAGCAAGCCUCGCACGUCAGACGGCACUGCCCCAAGCGACUUACACCGCCGUCACCGAGCCCAGCCCAGCCCAGCCCAGCCCAGCCCAGCCCAGCCCAGCCCAGCCCAGCCCAGCCCAGCCCAGCCCAGCCCAGCCCAGCCCAGCCCAGCCCAGCCCAGCCCAGCCCAGCCCAGCCCAGCCCAGCCCAGCCCAGCCCAGCCCAGCCCAGCCCAGCCCAGCCCAGCCCAGCCCAGCCCAGCCCAGCCCAGCCCAGCCCAGCCCAGCUUAUGCACUCCAAUGCAACAUUCCUAUGACCAUACAGUAUGCACUCACCGCAGCAGGCGCAGCGCAUCCAGGCGCUAGCGGGCCAGUGGGGCGGACCCAGGCCGCCGCCACAAACACACACGCCCUCAGAGAACCCGCACGCGCGCGCGGGCUUGCCCCCCACCGCCGCCGCCGCCGCGACCGGCACCGGCACCCGGACCGCACCACCGCCACCAUGCAUGCUGCCGCUGGUGCCCCCGGCUGCGUCGACAACAGCGAGUCGUUCAAUGGGGGGCGCGGCCACGAUUUCCGCCGGCAGCGGCGGCGUCGCCGUGGCAGCGCCGUUGGGGCGGCGGCCGCUGCCGCCGUGUGCACCACCAGCAAAGCACACGACCUGCACCCACAGGAUGAAGCAGUGUCUGCUGCACGUGUGUACCGCCGUGUGUGUGUGUAUGCCAUGCAACACAUGCCUUUUGCGUGCGUGUCCGUUCACCGUUCACGCUCACCGCACACCCACACGCGCAUUAGUCAUGCCGCUCCCUUGCUUGCUUGCUUCUUUUGCCCCGCAGCUCGCGCAGGCACACCGGGGUACAUGCACAGCUUCGUAACGAACCUUCGUCCACACGCACCGACGUAACCAGCGACGACCGCAAACCCACCGGAACAUCGUACGCCGCCGAGUUGACGACGCCGGUCAUGAUGCCGGUGCCGGAACAGGGCGCGGCGGCGGCAGAGGCCACCACAACAACAGGCGCAGCAGCAGCAGGCAGCGGCGGCGGCGCCACCCCAGCGAUGGCGCCGCCAUACCCUGCUGCCGUGCCGCCGCCAGCAGCAGCGGGCACCGAUCGCGAUGCGCCGCCCUCCUUCAGCGGCUCAUCAGUAACAGCAACAGCAGCAGCAGCGCCACCACCGCGCUCGACAGCAGCGCUGCCACUACCAGCACUACUGCCACGGCAGCUCACUGUGAUCCUGCCGCCAGCGAUACCGCCGCCGCCGCUACCGCCGCCGCUGGCCCCGCCCUUGCAAGUCGGCAGGUGCUGCCCCGCGUCGUCAUCCUCAUCGCCAUCCUCAUCGCCUCCAUCAACAAUGAAGCUGUAGCGGAGGCGGCGAGCCGCCUCUGCGAAUGGCCAACUCCUGCUACUGCCAGCCGCCGCCGCCGCUGCGUGCACGCCUACGGCUGUAGCAACGGCGGUGAUGGUGGCAGUGGUGGUGCUACUGCUACUGCUACCACCCCCACCAGCAACCCAGAUCAGCUCCGGCCCAGACCAGCUCUUGUGCAUUGGCGGCCGCAGCGGCGCUUGAGGAUCAGCGGGGCACUCGAGGCACACCGCCGCGGCGGGGCAGCGGUUGCGGCAGACCACUCCCCUUAUGAGGGCUUCGCCGUCUCCCCCGCCACCGCCCCGAUGUCGCUCGUUGGAAUUCAGCGGCGUUUCCAUAUCUGUCCGUCCUGGCGGCGUAUAAGAGCCGCGAGCGGCGAUAAGCCGCGAGCGAGCGGCGAUUUGGUAGAUUGAGCGGACGAGCGGCCGGGUAUUGCUUGCCCCAACGUGCGAGCGCAGAAGUGUGUGAUGCGCAAAACUCUUUCGGCGACAGACUUGAAUGUGCGCGCGAGCAAUGCCGGAGAUGUGCUGUGCCUCGAUCGCGCCCAACCGUCGACCAACGCCAAUCGCGCAGCCACACACCCACAUAACGCCACUAACCGAGUCCCUUCCAACUGAAGUGCGCGCAGCACUCCCCAACCCUGGCGCAAAUGUGCAGCAACCACAUACAGCAUCCGCUGUGGUGGUGUGCGUGUGUGCGGUGGGGUGGGGGGCGGGAUUGCAUUCCGUUGCGGCGGUAUUGCCACGGCAACCUGGAGCCCCCCGUUUCCGGGCCCGUGGCACAGAAGAUGAAGCGGCCAAUUUUAUUGGGGGAGUGAAACUCGUUGAAGCUGUAUUAACAGUCCAGCCGGCAGCUCCAAUAGGCCAGAUGGGCCUGGUCCCAAGCUGGGGACGAGUGAAUUCGGCUACUGCUGGCAUUUGGCCAUCACGCCGCGUGGGUUGGCCACGCAGGUCCCCAGCCCAGGUAACGCCCCGCCAUGCCUUCCUGCCAGUGUCUUUUGGUUUCCACACACACGCGAAACAACACCUCCCUGCACCACUACCUCCAAACCCUUACUCGCGCCCUCGACAGCCUUGCUUGCCAGCCGCACAAUCCUUUAAGCACCCUCACAUCACAUGUUCGGUACCUGCAGGCUACCCGCAACCUCCCCGCCCCCAACCAACCCAAACCAAGCGCCACCACCACCACCCAUCCACCACAGCACCAUCAUCACUGCACCCCAACCACUCUCGCGCUCACACCACCACGCCGCGCACCGCCCCCAAGUUCACCGCACCCACGCCGCCACCCAUACCCAUACCCGCACCCACACCCGCCGUCCCCUGCCGCGAGCCUUUGCCUCCCGCCGCCGCGCCGCCAGCCGCCGCCGCCGCCGCCGGCGCCGCCAGGCUUCCAAACAGCUUCCCCAGGUCCACCCAGUGCCAAUGGCUGCGGCGGCGCAGGCCGUCCAGCGCCUCGGCGGCGGCGCCCAGCGUGCGCGCCAGCGACUCCGGGACCUGCGUGGGUGUGAGCAAGUGUGCGUGUGUGUGAGCGUGAGCGUGUGUGUGUGUGUGUGUUUGUGUGUGUGUGAGAGAGAGAGAGAGCGGGCAACCGGGUGGAUGUGUGUAAUUAUGUGUCUGUCGUAAGGUUGCAUAGAAACGUGGUGGGAGGAAAGUGCGGCCCACGGCAGUCAGAAUGUCUCCCAACCAGCCCACGCGAAGCCCACGCUGGUGCCUACCUAUCGGCGUGCCGCCCCUGUUCUCCCCUCUGCCCCCCCUCUGUUUGUGCGCCGCUUGUUUAGCAUGGUUUGGUUUAGUCUAGUUUGGGCUGGUAUUUAAACCCCACCCCCGCGGCCCCCACCCACCCACCUUGGCCCGCACGUCGUCUAGGCUGACGCCGCUCUUGGGGUCGGCGGCGCGCAGGCGGCAGUGGUGGCGCCGCGCCGCGCCCUCCACGUGCAGUAGCCGGUAGUAGUGCGACAGCUGCACGUGGUGGGUUGGCAGGUGUGUGUGUGUGUGUGCAAAGAUUGGUACACGGAAGUGUGGCAAUGGGGGCCACAUUCAUGAUUAUAUAGCGAGUGAAUGCGCAGGGGAGUGGGGAGAGGGUGUGCGGCGGUGUGGGGAGGUGUGGGGAGGGUGUGGGGCAGCACCGUGGGGGCAGUGAGAUAGGGAGAGGGAGAGGAUGUUGGGGUCGGGUUGGGUUGCGAGCCCACCCAUCCCAAUCACACACACACCACAACCGCCCAUUCCCACCCACCCACCCACCCACCACCCACCCACCACCCACCCACCACCCACCCACCCAGCCACCCAUCCCCGCCCACCUGCAGGUACAGGUCGCGCUCGUUCAUGGCUCGCCGCAGCAGCACACCCGCCCGUGAGGGGUCGGGGUGCCCGCAGCGCUCCGGGCCCGCGCCGCCGCCCGCCUCCUCGCCCGCUCCGCCCGGCCCCGCCGCCGCCGGCCGCAGCACUGCAGCGCGGCAGCCGCCUGGCCCCGCGUCCGCCGUCUCGUCGUCGGGUCGGAGCACGCCGUCGUAGUAGCGCGCCACCGCCUCCCGCGCGCGCAGCAGCACCUGGGUGGGGUAGUUGGGUAGAGCGUGUUUGUAUGCGGAGGAUGUGUGUGUUUGUGUGCGUGUGUGUGUAGGGGUGUGGUAUGAGAAGUAUGGUUUUGUGUGUGUGUGUGGGGUGGGGGGGUUUCCAUGCAUGUUAAAUAACUCGAGAAGGGGGGGGUGGUGGAGUCCAGGGGUUUCGUGUGGCACUAGCAGUAGGCAAGGCAAGAGAGAAGAGAGGGCGGGCAAGGGAGCAGGAUAGGACGCAAUGUGGAGAAGCUAAGUCGUUGUAGAGGAUGCCGCGCCACGGAAAUAGGCUCAACCGGUCGGGUUCACACACGAUGACAGCCACCCACCCACACACGCACCCACCUGGUUGAUGAGUGCCGCAGGGCUGACAGUGGCGGUGGGGUCGCCCAGCGCGUCCGGCGGCGUCAGCAGCUGCACACAGGUGUGUGUGUGUGUGUGUGUGUGUGUGUGUGUGUGUGUGUGCGCGCGAGAGGUCGCGAGGUGCGUGGCGGCGUCAGGCCUUGCUCUAAGCCUCCGUUCGAUCCCUCCCACCCAGCCACCCAGUUGCUCCCCUCCCGCUGCUCCUCCCAUUUUCUUCACCAACCCACUCCCUCGCACUGCCACUCACCCACCCACCCCCAACUGCGACCCACUUACGGCGCGCAGUCCCCCGGCACGUAGCCCCCCUACCGUCUACCACUUCCUUAACUAAUCACGAAUGUCACCCUCACCUGCUCUGGCAUGAUUGCUUCCUUGAGCACGUCGUCCACACCCCGCAGCGGGAAGCAGGCGCCGGAGGGGCUGGUCAGCAGCAGCGGGCCACACGACUGCAGGAGGGGGGAAGGGGUCCAUGGCAGGGGGAGGCGGUUGACGGCGUAUUUGUGUGUACGGGCAACGGUCAGGUCUCUGUUCAUCAGUGCUCCCAUCGGGGAAAAAAGAAUGCCACAAGCGCACCACCGUGCACAAACCUUCUACCUCUUCCCUUGUCUUAGCCCUGCUUGGUCCCCCCCAUCACUGCUAACCCGGACCUGACUCGUUGGGUCGGCAUUUAAACCCCUGUCAUCCAUCCGUAUCUCAUGGGACCGGCCUGGCCCCUGUCUGGUCCCCCCCCAUCACCGCUAUUUCGGAUUUGAUUCGUUGAGCCCAGCUCCAUCUCAUCCUCCAGCCCCUGCCCAGCCUCCUCUUCCUCCCAUCCCUCUCACCCUGAAGUUCUCGUCCUCGUCCAUGAGGGUGCCGCCGCUGGAGCCCAUCAGCAGCGCCGCGUCAUCGUCCUCGCCGCCGCCCAGACCGCCGCCGCCGCCGCCGCCCGCCGCGCCGCGGUACCUACACACGCACACACGCACGUAAACUAUGUUGAGGCUGGUGCUCGCUUGUAUGUAUAUGUAUUGUGUGUGUGUGUGUGUGUGUGUGUGUGUGUGUGUGUGUGUGUGUGUGUGUGUGUGUGUGUCACACUCGCCACGCAUGCAAUACACACACAGGCCUUCCAUCCCUCCAUUUAUCCCUACCCCACAAUGACACACACACACACACACACACACACACACACACACACACACACACACACACAACGCGCGCAACGUUUUCCUUGUGCUCUUUAACACACACACACACACACACACACACACACACACACACACACGCUCCUCCAUCCCCCUGCACCCACACACGCCCGACCCACCGGGCGGGGUCCAGACCCAGGCAGUCGGCGAUGUGGGCGGCGUCGGUGCCCUCGAUAGGGCUAACUAGGCGCGACACCACAGGGUGGAUCUGUGCGGGCACGGGGCAUGAACAGGGGCGUUUGUGUGUAGGGGCAUGAGUGUAAGAGCACACAAGUCUGAGGUGUUUGUGGGGGCUGAGGGGCGCAGGGCAGGCGCAGGCAUGCAGGGAUGUGCGGGCGGCCAGGUUCGGGUUGAUGUGAGCACACAAGUGGGUGGGUGUGGGGACGUAAGGAAGUGACGCAGGCUGCUCCCACGUGAGCUGCCCCCAUGGCCAGCAGUCGGCCCAGCCCUGGCAGACACGUGACCCCACUUUCUCCCCCCCUCCCCUCCCCCUCCCCCUGCACCUUCACUUCUUUCCCCCCCUCCCCCAUCCUGCUGCCCACAACCUCCCCUAUGCCCGCCCCCCCUGCUUCUACCCCCCUGCUACUAACGCCUCUGCCUGUGCUCCCCUAGUUUAGCUUGGUUUGGUUUAGUUUGGGCUGGUAUCUACACCCCUCCGCCCCUUCCCCCUUCCUGCUGCCCACAACCUCCCCUAUGCCCGCCCCCCCUGCUGCUAUCCCCCCCCCUCCUCCCCUCCCCGCCCCCCCACCUGCUGCGCCAGGUAGUACUCCACGUCCACCGCCAGCUGCGACUGGUCCCGCAGCUCCUCGGGGUGGCGCGCCCGGUCCGCCAGACCGCCCGAGCAGGCGGCGGCAGUAGCAGCAGCAGCGGCAAUAGCAGUGGCAGUAGCGCCGGAGCCGUCAGCUGCGGCUACUGCCGCCGCGGCUGCUGCUGCGGGGUCGCGCUCCACGCAUAUGAUGUAGGGCACCGUCUCGCCCUGCGAAGAAUACCAUGGCUCAUUACAUAGAUAUAUACGCCUUGGCGUAUUACCAUUACGCAUGUGUUGGGAUAAGGAGGUGCUGUGGCCUCACUCAAGCCGCCAAGGCGCGCAAUCCACGCGUGUGCUCGACUCACGUCCAACUGCCUCCCAGGAGCCCACCCAGGCGUUAUUGCCUUGCAGCAGCCCCGCCCCCGUCCCCCCGCCUUCGUCCCCAUUAUAGAAUCAUAUCGGCAUAGCGGUGAGUUAGGCUUAGGUUUGGGCUGGCAGUUACAACUCUCUCCCACCCCUCUUCUCACUCUCACUCACAGGCAGCACGCCGUCGCGCUUGCCCGCCGCCCGCCGCCUCAUGGCCACCUGCACGUGCGGCUGGUUCUUGGCGUCUGGGUAGUCCUCGGGCCGCUUGGUGAGCUGCUUGGUGAUGAUGAACUUGCCCAUGGGGAUCUGUGGGCGUGUGUGCGGGGAGAGAUGGGAGGAGGGGCGGGUGGUGGGUCUGGGUAGGUGGGGCCUCUGCCUAGAUCCGUCUCCCUCCCCACGCAUUCCCAUCCCCCUUACCGCACCCACACGCCGCGCUCUUACCUGUCCUGCGCGCACCCGCUCCGCCACCUGGCGCAGGUGUGCGUGGAUCUCGCCCACCACCUCCUCCCGCCCGCGGCCGCUCAGCACGGCUGCCAGCGCGAAGUUGCCGACGUCCUUGGACAGCGGGCACCAGUCGCGCCGCACAAUGUCCAGGCCCUUCUGCUCCAUCACCUGAGAAUGGGUGUGUGGGUUGGGUGCGGGUUGGGUAUGGGGUUGGGUGUGGGUUGGGUGUGGGUUGGGUGUGCAUUGGGUGUGGGGUUGGGUGCGGGGUUAGGUGUGGGUAAGGUGGGUUGGGUAGGAGGUGGUUGGUUAGGCGGGUGGGGAGUGUGGUGACAUAAGUCGUGACGCCCCCUCCCACACCUCCUCGGCUCCUCCUCACCUCCGCCAGCCUGCCCUGGCCGUCCGGCUCCAGCUUCACGGCCGCGUACUUUUUCUUCUUGAGCAGCAAGAUGGAUUUAAACACGCCGUCCAGCUCGAUCUCCAGCAGCCUAGAGUUCGGGUCGGGUCCGGGUUUGUGGGGUCGUUGUUGUGUGGUGUUAGUGGGGGUUUGCUUGCUUGUGUGCGUCAUGGGUUGGCGGUUCGCUUCGGGGCUACCACGAUAGUGCAGCAACCCGCAGCCCCUGGUGCACCCCCUUCGCAUACACAAACACUCGCCCACACAAGACCCACACCCUCCCUGUCCCCUUCUAUCUCUCACUUGUAGCGCUUGUUGACCUCGCGCUUGAUGCGGGCGCCCAGCGCCCGCGCCUCCUCCACCGAGUCGGAGCGGGUGGCCACCAUGAUGGAGUCUGGGGGUGAGGGGAGGUGGGGUGAGGUGUGGGUGGGGGGUGGGGUGGAUUGGGUGGAUGUGAGNNNNNNNNNNNNNNNNNNNNNNNNNNNNNNNNNNNNNNNNNNNNNNNNNNNNNNNNNNNNNNNNNNNNNNNNNNNNNNNNNNNNNNNNNNNNNNNNNNNNGCGGGUGGCCCCAUGAUGGAGUCUGGGGGUGAGGGGAGGUGGGGUGAGGUGUGGGUGGGGGGUGGGGUGGAUUGGGUGGAGGUGAGGCGGGGUGGGGUGUGUGUGUGUGUGGUGGGGUGGAUUGGGUAGAGGUGAGGUUGGGGUGGAUCCUACUAUCCCCACUCUCCCUCCCCUUCCUCCCUGCCUCCCUCCCUCCCUCCCCCCCUCACCCGUGUCGCCGUAGAUGACCUCAGCCCCGAUGGCGCCCUGCACCAGGUCCACCGUGCUGCUCAGGAUGGAGCGGCCCUGAGGGGAGUGGGGUGCGGGGUGGUGGUGGUGGUGGGAAGGGUGUGUGUGUGUAGAAAUGGUGAGUGGGAAGUUGUUGGGGAUGGGUACGGCAGACGGGCGAGAGUGCUGGGGCCACACCAGCAAAGCUGCGACUGUAGCCGUGCUGCCGCAAGCCACCCCACCCCACCCCCACCCCACUAGCCCAAUCCCCCGUGUCCACCCCCCCCCCCCCACACACACACUCACACACCUGCGCGGUGAUGAGCUCGGCCAGCGGCUGUGCGUAGAAGCGCGAUGCGCCAAAGCCCAGGCAGCCGUACAUGGAGUUGGCGGUCAGCUUGAUGGCCUGCUGACGGACCUGUGGGCGGGGGUGUGUGUAGGGGUGUGUGUGUGUGUGUGAGGGGAGGAGAGGGUGGAGGGGGAGGAGGGGGAGAAGGAGGAAAGGGUAGGCGUCGGUGGACAGUGAGGUGCAGAAGCGGGCGUGGCUGUGUAUACACACACCCCACACACAAACACACACAUCCACCCACAAACCCACCUGCAGCUGCUGGCGAGUGACGGGGUUGCGCUCAUUGGCCAUGGCCGACUUGACCUGUGUGUGCGUGUGCGUGUGGCAGAGGGAGCGGCGGCCGGGGUCGCGAUCAGGGGCAUUCGGUUGAGUGUUCCGUGGUAUCCCAAACAGCGCUUCCGCGCCCUUUGAGCUGGAUCUGAGUCUUGGGUUGCGUUCAGUACCCCCAAAUUACCCCCAUGUUAUCCCCACUAUCCCAGCCCCCACCACCUGCAUCGCUAAUCCCCGCCCCCCUCGCUUGGCUUAGGUACAGUUCUCUCUCUGGUAUUUUACCCCCACCGUAAACUCCCCACCAACACAAACACACACACACAAACACACACACACACACAAAAAAAACACCCACCAACCUGCCGGCGCCUGUUGACCAGCGCCUGCAGCACCGCCGGCAGCGGCGCCAGUCCGUUGGCGGCGGAGGCGGGGUCGGGCAGCGGCGGCAGCGCGCCGUCGUCGGGCCGCUGCACCGUGGUGAAGCAGAUGUUGUACUCCUGGGGGGGGGGUGAGGUGACAUUCAUGAUUGAUAAAAGAGAGAAGGCGUUGCCAGGAACCGUAGUGCAGCAGGCGCGUUGUUACCGAGGGGUUGGGGUGGGGUGGGGUGGAGGUUGAGAUGGUAGGUAGAGGUUGGGAUAGGGUGGGAUGGGGUAGGAUGGGGUGGGAAGAUGGGUGGUUUCGUGAGGGUUCCCAGUGAGGAAAGCAGGAGCUCGAGGGUGGAGUCCUAACCCAACGCAAACUCCCAUCCAGCCCCGCGCGCACCUGGAUGAUGGAGGGGUACAGGGAGUUGAAGUCCAGGAUGAUGACAAUCUUGUCGUACAGCCCCUUCUUGGGCUCGAGCACCAGACCGCCCGCGUACUUGGGGCCGUUGCCGGAGGGGGCGGCCUUGGACUGGUGGGGGUGGGGUUGCAGACAUGGCGGCGGCAGGUUGCAAGGAUGUUUGGAAAAGAGGUACGGGAUGCACUGAUGCAGGGGGGGCUUGGCAGGCGGCGUUGGGGAGAGGGGUUUGGGGUGGGUGGGUGCAUACUUCAGGAGGAGUGACGGAACCGGGGGGUUGGAAGGGUCGGCGGGUGGGUGAUGCGGGCGGCAGUUGGAACCCAGCAGCGUGAACAGACGAAGGGCAAGCGGAUACACACUAGCAGUGCGAAUGCAAGGCUGGGGGGCGCAGGGCUCAGCGCUGUGCUCUCUCACCUUGGCCUUCUUGCCCUUGCCGCCCUCGCCUUCCUCGUCGUCGCCGCCGCCCGCCUCAAAGUCGUCCUCCGCCUCCGCCGCCGCGCGCCGCUGCUUGUCCUGCAGGGUGGGUGGGAGCAUGUCAACUCUUCCAUACCGUGUCUAUGUAAUGCAUCCACUUCUCCCACCUCCCUACAUUAGGCGGGCUUUGGUGGUUACCUGGAACGGCCCACUGCCGCACUGUCAGAGCAACACCAGAACAUACGCCCCAACGGCCGCAUUGCAACACCGCAACACCAAGGCUGCUGCCGUGUCCUCACUGAUUGCUUCUACGCUCCUCAAUGUGGCACCGGGCACAAAACCGCACGCUGCCACGCCUAGCCUGCCACCACUGCCACCACUACCACCACUGCUGCCACUACUACUUAUACAACAAACCCCAACCCCCAAAUCCCAUUCAUACUACUACCUGCUACUGCCCCUACUGCCUACAUAACAACCCCCACCCCCAAACCCCAACCCCCAACUCCCACCUUGUAGCUCUGCUUGUCCGGCACGAUGAACUUGCGGCUGUGGAACUCGUGCAGCAGCAGCAUCUCGAUGCGGCCGGCGCGCUGCCCCGCCAGCGUGCGGCUCCACAGCUGGCCCGACAGCGCAGACAGCUGCUUGGUGAGCGGCAGCACUGGGCGGGUGCGGGGGUGGGAGGUGGAGUGGGGAAGGGGUGGAUAUGCGUGUGAGGAUGGGUAUGAGAAUGAGUGCGGGAAUGGGUGUGAUGUGUGCGAGAAUGGGUGUCGUGGGCGCGAGGAUGGGCGCAAGUACGGAGGGUGAACCCGCCAUCCUCCCAUACCCAGACGUGCGCACCCUCUCCCUACUUCCCCUUUGAGCCCUCCCCUGGCUUAGUUGCGACUGAAAACCGGGAACUGACCCCACUCUCAGCAACCCCACCCCACCCAACCCCAACCCCGCACAAUCCCUCACCGCUCAGGUGGAACAUGAUGCCCAGCGCCAGCCAUGCGUCGCUCUCGCCGUGGCGCAGCAGGCGCAGCACGCCCUCCGCACUGCCAAAGCACGCGCCCAGCCCGCUGUUGUUGCCCGCGUUGGAGCCGGCCAGCGGGUCGGAGCGCUGCUGACCCAGCAGCGACUGCGGCGAGUGGGAGUAGGUGCGUGGGUGGGUGGGUGGGUGGGUGGGUGGGUGGGUGGGUGGGGUUGUAAAUACGAGCCCAAACUAAGCCAAACCAAGCUAAAAGGAGCGGAGCGCAGGCAGAGGCGACAAGGGGGAGGGAGGCGAGGGGUGCACGUGGAAUGGGCCGCCGCGGCAUGCCUUCCCACCCCCCAUUCUUUGCCUACGCGGGCCUGUCUCCUCUAGGCUCGGGCCCCAAAUCAUCCCCAAACACCUUUUUAGGUGCCGCCCGCCCCUCGCAGAUACGAUAAUCAUGAAUGUAACCCCCUGCACAAAACACACCGCCCACCUGCGCCAGCGUUCCCAGUGUGAAGUCCACGCUCUUGACCAGCUCACGAGCCGACAGGUAGGUGUCGCACAUCAGCCGGCCUGCGGGCGUGGAGCCGUCCAUGAAGGGGGGUACUUUGUCGCUUUGCCACUUCAGGUGAGCAACAACACGUGGGCUUCCAGAAGAUGACGGGACCUUUUUGUUGUGCUCGGGCACAUAACCCCCCCCCCCAUCCCCACGCCACGUCACGCCGCGCCACACCCACCCGCCACAGUGGCCAUGACGCCGGCACCCGCGCCGCCGCCAAAGGUGUGGCCGCCCCCGGUGAGGCGCGGGAACUCCGUCUUCUUCACGCGGCCGAUGCGGCUCCACAGCGGCACCUGCGCGGGGCGCGGGGCGCGCGUGUGUGUGUGUGUGUGUGUGUGUGUGUGUGUGUGUGUGUGUGUGUGUGUGUGUGUGUGUGUGUGUGUGUGUGUGUGUGUGUGUGUGUUAAAGAGCACAAGGAAAACAUUACGCGUAGGACAGUGUAUGCGAUGCAGAAUUACGGCCGCGGAUUACCUUCAGAGUAUACUUACCGCAGCCGACCGACCUGCCGAGCCGAGACCAUACUUACCCGAAGCACCUGUUACGCCCAUCUACCUAACCUUGGGUGGGGAUUAGUGUCCACACGAUCCCAAGGGUGCAAGCCCAUGCGAGUGUCCUACAACGUUCCCAGGCACUGUGUGUGUGUGUGUGUGUGUGUGUGUGUGUGUGUGUGUGUGUGUGUGUGUGUGUGUUGUUAGAUGGGGUGUGUGGGUGCACUAGCAGGUGCUUGCUGGAACUAAAAUGCCCCAACAAAGAAAACGCAGCCUGGGUGCCCUAGGGCUGACUUCACGGCCUUAAUUGAGCUGCCCCGCUAAGUUGCUUUCCCAUUUUGCCGCCCCGCGCACUGCCCCACGCCGACGUCCUGUGGUCCCUCGCCUUCAGCCCCUCCAGCCGCCGCCCUGUCCCCCGCCAUUUCCGUGACUGGGUGGGCUUUCCAAUGAUGGGGCUUUUUGGCUGGGCUCGGCCACAGAAAAACCGCUCCUUUCCCCCUACGCGUGCUGUCAACCUCGCUACACUUUUCUGGACCAUCUUUGCACCACCUCCGAGCCCCCCCUGGUAUUUACCCCCCCCCCCCCCCCCCACACACACACACACGCACACGCCCCCCCACCUUGUGGUGCUGCAUGCGCGACAGCAGGGUGGUGAGGUCAAAGGCCGCCACGUUGUGUCCCACCAGCACGUCCGCGUCCAGCGACUGAAGGCAGUGGGGAGGAGGGGGAAAUGAGGGGGGGGGGUGAGUGGGAUGAGGAGGAGGGGAUGGGGAGGAGGCAGGGGGUGUCAACUGUCAAGUCAGUGUGUAUGUGGCAUAUGUACAUCACGCGGGAACGAGCAGGGCUUACGCUGCGGCUAGCCCACGAGCCAUGACAGUCACAGCCAAUCUCACAUUGACCAGGCGAGACUGAGCGCGAUGCAGCACCACCAAUGCCACCAGCCCCCCAUCCCCCCUAGUUUAACUUGGUUUGGUUAAGUUUGGGCUGGUACUUACAACCCCCUUCCCAAGCCCGACCCCACCCAACACGCCAUCUCAACUCCCAAUCCACCCGCACAACCGCCCCACCUCACCCCACGCAUCCACCCACCUGCAGCCUGGCCAGCAGGCAUGUGAGCAGCGAGCGCUCCGAGCCCUGCAGCGCCACCAGCGGCCCGUUGGCGUUGCCGGCGCCGCUGUUGGCGCGGCCGCGCGGCGUGGCGUUCUCGGCGGCGGCGGCCGCCUCCAUGCCUGCAAGGGGAGGGGGCGAAAGGGGGAUGGAGGGGUGUGUGGAGGGGGAUGGAGGGGGGAGGCAUGUUGCGAUUGUUGUGAUGACGUUGCAUAGUUCGCAGCACCCAGCCGCCUUCCGCGCACGAUACGGUAGUAAGAGUCACGCAAAACAAGCACACUGCCCUUGUGCCUCCCGUGGCGCUUCCAAGUUUCACAACACACUUCCAACACGUUCAGCAUACACACGCACAAACAUACGCACACACGCUCUGCUCCCGCCGCUUCCGAGCACGCGCCCCCGCCGCACCCGCGGGCCAGGCCUGUCCAUCCAGCCGUCGCACUAUGGAGAAGCUGCGCAGGCGUUGCGGGUUGCUCCAGUCCUUGGCAGCCAGGGGCGCGUCGGGCGACACGCCCGACAGGUGCACCACACUGGCAGCCACGAUCUGCAGCAGCGGCAGGGGGUGUGCGGGGAUGGUGGUGGCGGUGAGGUGGCGGUGAGGUGGCGGUGGCGAUGAGCGUGAUGGAGUGGUGGUGGCGGUGGUGGUGGCGGUGGUGGUGGCGGUGGUGGUGGCGGUGGUGCUGCUGCGGCGCCACCCAAUAUGUACGUCCGCCCGCCGCAACCCCCCUCACCCCCAUCCCCGGUGUGCUUCUGCCGGCCACCUGCCCACCGUCUGCCCCCUACCGACGCCUUCCGAACCCCCCCCCCCAGGCCACGCUCUCCUCCUCGCUCUCUUGCGUUGGAUUCGGUUGAGUUUGGGCUGGUAUUUUACCCCCCACCCCACCCACGCACACACACGCACACACUGUCGUUGCGCUAUGUUUUCCUUGUGCUUUUCAACACACACACACACACGCACACGCACACGCUUACCUCGUGCUGGUGGCUGGUGGGGUGGAUGGAGGUCUUGAGGCACAGCGAGGCCACCGUCAGCGGCGGCGGCGCGCGGCCCGCGGCGUCCGGCGCCAGGCCCUUGUCCGCCGUCAGCAGCCUCUUGCCGCCCUCCACCGCCACCUCCACCUGCAAGAUACACAGUUGAGGGCACACGCAGGUUACAGGGUUGGGAAGGCAGUGCUUGACAGUGGCAACCACGCUGCUUUGGCUUGUAGGGACACAUUUUGACACAUGCAUGCACAUGCGAACGGCAACCCCCGGCACGCGGCGCGCGAACUACCCCCUGCUCCACCCCAAACCCACGAACCCCACCCCGCCCACAAAUCCCCUCGGCCUCGGCCCACAUCCCAUAAGUAUUAUCGCUUGCAACUCACACCUCUGCCUGUGCUCCGCUCGUUUUCGUUGGUUUUGGGUUUAUUUGGGCUGGUAUUUACAACCCCCCCCCCCCCGCCCACGAAUCCCCCCUCCCGCGGCCCACCUUGCACCAGGUGGUCUGGUUGCCGUACUCCACGCGGGUGGGGCUGCAGAUGCCCAUCCAGCCCGGGCCCUUGAUGCGCCGCUUCAGAGACAGCGACUGGGAGCAGGGAGUGGGUAGCGGGGGAGGUCGGGGGGCGUUUAGAACAGCAGAGCAGUCGCCGUUGCGGUAGCGCCGACAGCCGGCGGCGGCUCAUGUAAUGCACGGCACAUGUCAACUUGUAAAAAGUCAGAAAGCGUGAUUGCAUGCAUGAACGGGUCAGCAAAGGCGUCUGUGCGGCAUCACCCACCUCCAGGGUGCUCUGGUUGGCUCCGAAGAUGGCGCAGUAGGUCUUGCCGCUGAAGCAGCCCGAGGCGGGCGGCUGAAGCACUGGCAGGUGGCCGGGGUAGCGCACCUGCACCGGCACAUACGUCGACACACGGCAACACACGUCGACACACGCCGAUACACACGUCAAAAGCCGGUCCCCCUUUUCAGCAAAGCAUUCCGUAGCCCGCCAGCCACGCAAGCCGGCUAGGCUGCAGCGCUGUUAAGCCCGCCCUCCCCCCCCCCGCCCGAGCAGGCGUGCCGCCCCUGCUCACCUUGAUGACCCACUGCUCUCCGUGCGGCACGUCCCUGUUCUCAAAGGCGUAGCUGCGCCGCACCGGCACCAUCCGCAUGGCGCUCACGCCGGCCUUGGUCAGCAGCGAGCGCACCUCGUCGCGCAGCGGCCCGCAGCGCUCCUGUGCGUGUGCGUAUGUGUGUGUGCGUGUAGGUGUGUGUGUGUGUGUGCAUGGGGGGUGGGGGUGGAGGGUACGUGUGUUUGUGUGUGUAUGUGUGUGUGCGCACGUGUGAGGAGUGCAGGGUAGGGCAGGCCAGGGCGGCGCGGAGGGGUGGGAUGGGGGUACAAAUUGGAGGAGCACGGCAGCUUGCAUGACAUGCAUGUUACGGUGGUCGGGUGGGCUGCCAGCUCACAACUUGAUGCCCUCUAAAAACACUCCACCAGCUGCCGACCACAUCUGUGACCCAGAGCACACGACCGCAGCCGCCCCCACCUGCAGCAUCUUCAUCAGCUCGGGCUUGCGGGCGGGGUCGGCCUUGACGGCGGCGUGCAUGGCCACGAUCGCGCCGUCGCCGUCCUCAAACACCUCCCGCCGCGGCACCACAAUCAGUGUGCGCUGCAGCCCGCGCACCUGCACACAGCAGCAGCAGACGAAGAAGGCAACCGCGACAGCGUUGUAAACAAAACAGAACGGUCUAUAAGGUUCGAGUUGGGCAGAUGGGGGGCAUCUUGAGCCUUUGUGUGUGUGGAGAAGGCUAGGCAGGAACCCUCCAAAGCAGGAGGCGCAGCAAAACGGGUGUUACUAGCUGUGGCUGAAGGGUACGGGUGUCUGCAAUUCCCAACACCGCGCUCUCACCGCCACGGCGCAGCUCUGCCAGCGGCCGCCCUCCGCCUCGAUCUUGCCAAACAGCACCACCUCGCCUGGGGAGUGGGGAGUGGGAGUGGGGAGUGGGGCACAUGGGGGGGGCCAGGCACCGGUUCCAAAAAGAAAUGUCUUGGCCCACUUGCCGCCCCCGUGUGGGAGGUGGGGCACCACCGCACCAGGCAGGGGGCCGCGACAGGCAGGUGAGGGACAGGAACACCAGCACACGAACCCGGGGGACGUGCCCAGGUUUGCCCACCAACCCAUGACCCAGCGCUGCCGGCCCAGCCUUCACCAGCGGUUUACCUAGCCCCACGCUCCGUACUCCAACCCUACUCCAUGCACCUGCCCAAUCCAAUGGCAACUCACCGGGACGCGCGUCCGGGUUCUCGUAUGCAUCAAGCAGAUAGAACGGCAGCACGCCUGCGGAGUCGCGUUGGGGUAUGGGAUCAUCGCGUUUUCCUUUCGGUUUGAUAGUGGCGUCCACGCCAGCCCCUACGCUCGCGUCAUUCGCAAACACACACAAGGCGCAAAUGCCAAACACCAGCCCUUCAAGCCCCAUCCCGAAGAACAUCAACACACAACCUCCCCACAGAAUCGAGCCAUUCCCGUGUGCUUUCCUCGCCCAUCCUCCCCUCACCAUUGCUGUCCACGGGCAGCGGCGCCGCGCCCGAAGCCGCAUCGCCGCCGCCGGGCGUGGCGGCCGCCGGCGCCGGAGAUGGCGCCUCCGCUGGCGCCGCCGCCGCAUCCUCGCCGCCGGCGCCGUACAUCUCAUCCCACACAUCCUCGGCCCGUUGAACCGUCGCGCCAUCCAGAGGCGUCGCAGGCGCGUCCAUGAAGUUGCGGCCCGCCGGCUUGCCGGCAACAGCGGCGGCAGCGGCGCCGCCAGCGGCGGCGGACGGCGGCGGGUUCAGCUUGAUGUCGUCCGGCUCCUCCGCCUGCUUGGCGGCGGCGGCGGCGCCGUCGCCGCCAACCUCCAUGCCCUCGGCGGCGCCGUCAGCGUCGUGCAUGGGCACGUCGUCAUCGGCGCCGUCGGCCAUCGCCAUCGCGGGGGCGGCCUCUGCCAGGGGCUCCCGCUUCACCGCCGCCGACGACGUGACGGCGGCGGCGGCGCCGCCAGCGGCGCCGGCGGCGCCGCCGCGGCCCGAGGCCGUCAGCGCCGCCACGGCGGCCAAGCCGCUGACGGGGCGCGCCGGCAUGCCGCCGCCGUACGGGCGCGGCACCGCCAUCGGCGCCACCGCGCCGACCGCGCGCAUGGCCGCCGCCGCCGCCGGCACCAUGGGCCGGGCGACGGGCGCGGGCGCCGCGUAGGCGGGCGCCGCCGCCGGCUUGACGGCGCCGGGGACGCCUGCGUCGGCAAGGAUGUCGCCGAGGAUGUUGUCUAGCAUCUCGUCUGCUGCGGCGUCGGUAGGCUUGGGGCCCGCGCCGCCGGCAGCGCCGCGGCCGCCCAGGCCAGGGAUCGUGCGGGUGGCCGCGGCCUUGCGGAACAUGCUGCCGAUGUUGCCGCCCUCCUCGCCGUCCUUGCCGCGCUUGCCGCCCUUGCCUUGCUCUGUGUGUUUUGCGGGAAGGGUGUCCCGGGCAGGGAUGCGGGCAAGGAUGCUGGGUUUACGUGGCAUGGCACGAGCGCGCUACCCAUUGCCCCCGGGCGGCCCCGGGCGGCACAGCGCGCACACAGGCACAGAGCCACCUGCAUUCCAGUGCGAGCACCGCUUAUGUGCACCGACCAUGGCUCACCCUUCUUGCGCUUCUUGCCCGCCUGCUUAGUGUCGUCCUCCCCAUCGUCGCCGCCGUCGUCCUCGACGGGGCUUUGAGAGGGGCCAGAAACCAGGAGAAGUGCGGAUUCAAGGGCAAGGGAGGGUUCAUCGAUGUGAACUCUACCAUCGACAUCACACUGCAUCAUUCCCGUCCUUGUUGAUAGGAACAUGAGUCUCUGAGCAAGGGAACGAGGCCGACAAGUGGUAGCGACAUUUUGCGCGCUCAUGCCCUUGGGUGACCGCCCAUCAGCACCGCUCACCGCUCCUGGAAGUAGUCAUCCUCGCCGAUGUCAUGGUAACCAGCCCCAUCGUCAUCCACAACGAAAUCCCCGGCGUCGCGGCGCUUCUUCACAAUUUCAGCAUAUUGCUGCUCGUCGACCACAUCAUAGACAGCUGCCUCCUCCUUGACCUCAUACGCAAGUGCACGCUUGAGGCCACCGUCGCGGGCCGCACGCAGCUGCUCAAGCGCGCCCUUGGCCUUCACAGCUGCGCUGCUCUGAACUGGCUGACGCCUGCUACGGUCCAUUCUACCUUCCGCAGUGAUGGAACUAUACAAACUUCAAAUAUAAAGUAGUUACAAGUGGCUCUGGGUCAAAAUACGCGAGGUUUGUGGGGUCUCAAGUCAGGGUCGCGCCAUUUCGUGUUCCAUAGGUCUAAGCGCAGCUUUUCAAGGGUAGUGGCAAGACAACUAUGGUACUCAAUGAAUGAUGAUGUGUUUGGAGCGAGCCGGUGAGCGUAAAGCUGGCUCGUUGCGAUUUGCGCGCAGUUCGCUGCAUGGGCGCCCGAAGUUUGGCCAGGAAGCCAACUGCACUCGCUCCAGACAAUACCUGCACACGAUUUGUUUCGGUGAAUGAUUAUGCCGGCUUAAAUGUACUGGAGUCCCGAGUGCACCGAAUUGCCUUUUGCUCCAAAUGCCUGCGCUGACUGAGUUUAUCGCCACGCCUGCGGCUAGCAACCAAUACAUGCGUGUGACGCAAUAUGGUUAUGAAAAUGGCAGAAGCGUCCGGGGGCUUAGGCGGGAGUGUCAGGCACGGCCCACACUCGGGGUUGGGAAGGGCUGGGGUUUGGCGUGGACCCCCAUCCGGAUCUCGUCUGGGCUCAGGGGCGUCGCGCCGGCAGUAUUCCACCGGUGAGCCUCUUGCCAUACAAUAUCCGUUUCUCUAUUUAUUUGCCCCGCCUAAGUAGCAGUAGCACGUCCCAACCAACAAGUACGUACGUUGUCUUGCACGCUUCCGCGCCGCUCCACCGCUUUUGACCUUGGCUUCCUUUCUGCUCGGCUCAGGCCUCCGAACGCUCCAGGGCAGCCAGCCGGAGCGUGGCAAGGUUACGGCCCAGCUCUGGCGAGCAUGUCAACCGGCCUGGCGCUUGCCGCUGCGUAGCAUACACCGACAGCAAUGCAGCUCGGGCCGCCUGCGGCGCAGCAGCGCUACACCGUUCACGUUGUGAGUAGCUCAAGCGGCAGCAGGUGUAGCUCGCGUGGCAGGCACAGCGCAUGCUCCUCUGUUGCGAGCGACACGGGCGAGGCUGCGAACAGCGCGCCUUCCUCCGCGCUGCCGGCUUGGCUGCGUUCGCAGCUGUGCUUCGAGUUGCUCGCGCCGGCGCCUGCUGCAGAGCCAGCACAAGCAAGCUCACAAGCUUCCGCCGCCCUUGUCGACCAACAGCAGCCGCAGCAGCCGCGGCCUGAACCGCAGCCGCGCUCGCAGGAGCUUGUGGCAGUCUGGCACGCGCCGUCUGCCGACGUCGCAGCUGCAGCAGAUGAGGCCGCAGCUAGUGACCAGCCGGCGCGCCUGCCCGCCAUGUGGGUCAGGCGCCACGGCUGCCUGCUGCAGGCCCUGGGCUGCUGCGCCGCAGGGGACGUGGUGCUGCUUCUGGGGGGCGUGCAUGACAUAACACACCAGCACCAGCGCCACCGCCUAAAGCAGGAGCGCCAACAGCAGCAGGAGCUGCUUCCCAAGGAGCAGGUGCAGCAGGAGAUGCAGGAGCAGCAGGAGCGUCCCUCAGGCGAUAUGGGUCAAGGGGCGUGGGCCACGGACGCCGCUGCCGGGCCUGCCUGGAUCGCUCCCAUGGCGCUAGGCGAUGUGGUCAUUCCGGCGGGCGUCACACUGCUUGGGGAGAACCCUGCCGAUCCCUCACAUGUGAGUUGUUUGUGCAUCUGGGUCGGGGCGUUGCAGGCGCGCUAGUUGAGGGUGCAGGCAUCGAAGUGUGUUGCUUGAGGGGCUGGUCUACCGCCUGCAUACUCGUUCAAUAAACGCCGUGGGGUGCUUAGCUAGCAUGGCGUUGGCGCGGGGCCCUUGGCGCUUGGCGUGACCUGACCUGACCCACAUGCGCACCAUCCUGCCUUCUUCCCGAGCCCCGUAUGUUGGCGUUGCCGCCACCCGAACCCUAAUCCCCCCUCCAUACACAAAACACACCGCAGGCCAUGAUCCGCCACUCCGGCCUGUGCGUGGGUGCCUCAGCGUCGCUGCUGCCUGGCCCUGCGCCGGCGUCACGCCUGGUCACGUGCGCCAUCGGCGUCACGCUCGUCCACGUGUGCCAAGGCGGCGCGCAGCCCGCACAGACGCCUUCGCAGCCGCAGGCACCGCCGGGCGAAGCGGCCCCGGCUGCCGCGCUCUCCGUGGCGUGCGGCCGGCUGUCCAUGCGCGGCUGCAACGUGCAACUGGGUGCUGGCGGCGGCGGCGGCGGCGGCGGCGGCGUGGGCAUCUGGGUCGGGCCCGGUUGUGGGCUGGAGCUGAGACACAGCCACAUGUGCGGCACUGCCCAGGUUGGCAUUCUGGUGAGUGGCGUGCGAACCCAUAUGAGCUGGGAUGGAACCGGGAUUAAUUCAAGGGGCCUGCGAGGGAGGUGGUAGCGCACCUGUCGCUUGACGUUUCAUGCGCCGUCCCUACCUCGUACGGUUUGUCGACACGCCCUUGUACGGUAUGUUUGGACUUCCUUUGCGCAGGUGUGUGUGGGCGCAUCGGUGUGCCUCGUCGGCACCGCUUGUCGUGUGACCGGUCGCGCGGUGGUCGCCAUGCAAGCAGCUGCGGCGCAGCCAGCACCGCAGCCAGCGCCGCAGCCAGCACCGCAGCCAGCGCCGCAGCCAGCGCCGCAGCCAGCGCCGCAGCCGGAGCCGCAUCCUGAACCUGAACCUGCACAGUCGCAGCUGCAGGAUGCUGAGGCGGCCACGCAGUCAUCCGCUGCGGUGGGUGCGGCGCGCGGCCGCGCCAUGAGUAAUAGUGGCCAGGUGCCGCCGCCGGCUUCGGUCGCGCCCGUGGCGCCGACGCUGCUGGUCGGUCAGGAGUGCAUCCUGUCAGCGGCAGGGCUGGAUGGGGGUAGCAGCAGUGCCAGCGCCGGCGAUGGUGCCGGCGGCAGCGGCGGCCGCGGCAGAGCGGAGGCGUACACCGUCCUGCUGCUUCGGCCCGCUGCCACGCGCGGCGCCGACGCCGGCGCUGCCCGCCAGGCCGCGGCGUCACCGCUGCGGGGCUGUCGUGUGUGCAUCCACCCUGACGUGGUCUUUGCCGGGCAGCAGCCCACCGCCCGCCCAGCCGCGGCGCCGCAGGCUACCGCUGUCGAGCAGCAACAGCCGCCACAGCCGCCACAGGCGGAGCGGCACGCCGCCGCCGACGUCGCCGCCGCCGCCGCCUCCACGCAACGCCCGCGCGUCCUCCGGCUCCGCGGCAGCUCCGCAGCGCCGUUCAGCCUCGGCGUCGCGACGCGGGUCCCCUGCGAAGCCGCAGGCAGCGCCAGCGGCGCUGCCUCAUCCUGGCCCAUUACCGGCGUGGGGCUGGUGUCAACGAAACGCUUUCCGUUGGCGCUGGGCGACCGCGGCGGCGCGGUGCCCAGCACCUGGCUCGUGUUCGGGGUCGCGGGCGGAAGCCAAGCGGUGGCGAGGCUGCCUCGUGAGCUCGGCGGCUGGGUGCCGGCUGCGGGCCUCAUCCCACUCAUCAACUCGGUGGCGGCCUCGUACGCUGCCGCCCACCCCGCGGCACCCGCGGUGGUGGCGUCUGCGCCAGCCCUGGCCAGCGCCGCUUCUGCGGGAGCGGGCGCGGGUGCCGGUCACGGCGCCGGCAGCAUCCACGCGGGUGCCACGCCGGCACACGCCCCGUCGCCACCCUUGCUCCAGCAGGCAGUAAGUGGGGCGGCUGUCGACUGCAGCGGUACACACGGCUGCAGCGGUGUACGGCAGUCGGCGUCGGUCGUGGUCGCGCCCGCGCCGCCAAACUACACCACGCCCCUGCGCCCGCUCCGCCGCCGUGGCUGCUUCUCGCCUCAAGGCGCGGGUCAGUCAGCCCUCCCAUGCACCAGCGCUGCCGCGGCCCCGGCCGACAGCAAUGCCGACGGCGCGACUCAGAGCAGCAGCGGCGGCGUUUCCACAAUGCGGCGGUCCGUGCUUGGGAGCGAGGGCGCGGCUCAGAGCAGCAGCGGCGGCGUGACUGAGAUGCUGCGCUCCGUGCUUGACAGCGCGGCGAGGACGCGUGCACCCGCGGCUUCGCCAGGGGUGGGAGGCAGCGGAAAUGCCAGUGACCGCGUUGAGCUGGCAUCCAGCGUAACACGCCCCUCGCCCAUUCCCUUUCGCAACCCGGGCCGUGCGCUGCGUUCUGCUGAGCUUCAGGCGGCCGGGGAAGAUAGCGCCGGGCGAGCCGGAAUCGGUGCGGCAGGCACGGCAGCCGCUGGUCCCGGCCGGAACGGUGUGAGCGGAUGCGUUGCGGUGUGCCCAACCGCCCAGCUUCCAACUCCCGCCAUCCCCACUUUGCAGUCAGAGCGGUGCUGUAAAGGAAGCGGCACCGAUGCAGUCGGAACAGCUGAACGCCUGGUGGCGGUCGGCGGCAGCGGCGGCGGCUGCAGCCGUGCGCGUGUUGCGGCCACAGCGGCGGAGGUGUCGCGCGCCGUGGCUCGGGCACACGGGGCGGAGGGGCCGUUGCCUUCGCCACCUCCCGGCCCGGAGAGGUCGUGCGGCCACGCCAGCCCUGCGCUGGCAGCAGCGCCCGGCGCCGCCUCGCCCACCGCCGCGCCACAGCCGCAGCAGCAGUGGAUGCAGCAAUGGGCGGAUCAGGAUCUGGAUCCACAGAUGCAGCUGCUGCUGCAGCAGCUGCCAGCACGUGCCGGGAAUCCGUUCGGCGGCGAUGCCAACCUGAUGCAGGCUUACCUGGCCUUCCGGGACGAGUCACCACCGCCACCGCAGCAGCAGCAGCAGCAGCAGCAGCAGCAACAACAGCUGCAGCUGCAGCUGCAGCUGCAGCUGCAGCAGCAGCAGCAGCAGCAGCAGCCGUUGCAGCUGCAGGUGCAGCAGCAGCAGGUGCAGGCAUGUUCCGUUGCGGCCGGCGGCGGUCAGGGCGGCGCCAACGGCGGCAAUAGCCUUUCCUACGAGUGCAGCAACGGCAACGACCGCAUCACCACCGGCGCUACCGGCUCCGAAACGUCGCUCGCCCACAGCACAUUCCAGCAUUCGCCGGCAGCCCAGCAUCCGCCGGCAGCCCAGCAUCCGCCGGCAGUCCAGCUGCGGGCCGGGCCGCAGCUGGCCAGCGCCAAGGCGGCAGACGUGCAGCGCUAUCUGGACCAGGCAGCGGCGGCGCAUGCGGCCGCCGAAUCGGCGGCACGACAUGCGCAUGCGCACCUCUCCGCCGCCGCUACUGUGGCCGCCGCUGCUUUGGCCGGCCACACAUCGCGCCACGGUGGAUUUAGGGCGGCCGCGGGCGAGGUAGGCGAGGCCACCGCCGCGGACGCGGCAACUGGCGCGGGCGCGCCGGCCGCUGGCACGCUCGCGGCUGGGGGUGCGGCGGGCGAGUGCGAUUUCAGCAGGCGAGAGCCUGGCGUUGAGGGCAGCAUCAGCCAUCGCGUGAAGCGGCGUCGUGGGGGCGAUGCAGCAAACAAGCCGGCCGGCCUAGGUUACGGCAGCGGCGCUAGUGCUUCUGACGGCGAUGAGGAGGUUGGUGCUGACGACGAUCCCGAUUACGGCCCCGAUGGGCAUCACUGUGGUGGUGAUGAUGACGCCGGGGCGGCGGCGGCGGUGCCCAGUUGGGUCAUCCCAACCUGCGUCAGCACCUGCUACCCAGCCCUGCCGCCGCAGGUGCUGUGGCCGGCGCCGCCGCAUGGCCAGGAGGAGCAGCAGGCGCAGCAAGCGCAGCAGCCGCUGUGGGACGCGCAAGUGCCAAUGCGGUGCGCGUGGCCGGCCAGGGAGGUGGAAGCGGCGGCGGCGGCAGUUGCGGUGGCGGAGGCCGCCGCGGCAGCGCCAGCCUCUGCUCCAGUGGCAGCCGGCGGCUCGGCCAUGCGGCAGCCACCGCCGCUAGCAGCCAUGCAACGGGCGCACGCCGCCGCCCUGCUGAUGCAGCAGCGCCCCCAGGCCGCCGCCGCUGGCUCCGCCGCGGCCCUGCUCCUUGGCCGCACCGCGCAGGGCGCACCAGCGGGAUCACACGCGGGCUCGCUACCGCUACCGCCGCCACCGCCUCAGCAGCUGCAGCUGCAGCCCGUGCCGGCGCGUCCGAGGCGCGUGAAUGGCGCUGCCUCGUCUUCAGUGGCCAGCCACAAGCGCAGCCGCCACAGCGGCAUGCCGACCGGGGCACGUGCAGGAUCCAGCCGCGUCAGUGGUGCAAGGCUUGGCGCGGCCGGAGAUGCGGGCUGCGGCGGUGGCGGCGGUAGCGGCGGUGGCGGCGGUGGUGGUGGCGGUGGCGGUGGCGGCGGUGGCGGCGGUGGUGGCGGUGGCGGCGGUGGCGGCGGUGGUGGCGGUGGCGGCGGUGGCGGCGGUGGUGGCGGUGGCGGCGGUGGCGGCGGUGGUGGCGGUGGCGGCUGCGGCGGUGACGUUUUGGCCGCCGCACAUCCCCACCACCUGGCAGCAGCUGCUGCGGAGGCGGCAGCGGCGGCAGCGGUUGCACACUAUGGCGGCAUUGAGCGGAGCAGCUCCAGCAGCAGCCGUCGGCGUGCCUCCGCGCGACCGGCGCCGCUGGCGUCGCAGGCCACCACCACACGCGCCGCGGCAAGGUCUGCGGCAGCGGCGGCGGCGCAGGCGGCUGCGGCGCAGGCAGCGGCUUCCUUAUUGUGCAGCCACGGAUGCCGGGCUGGGGCAGCCGAGCUGCUUCCUGCGGUGGGCCUGCUGGCGGCGAGCGCCCCCUGGCAGCACCAGCAGCAGCAGCCACAGGGGCCACAGUACGUGUGCCUGCAGGAGCAAGCCUCGCAUCUGCAGCAGCAGCGGCAGCGGCAGCAGCAGCAGCAGCAGGGCUUCCCGCCGCACGCUGCCCAAGGCGGGUUGCACGGCGGUGUGGUUGGUGUUAUCAUGGGCGCGGCCGGAGGCGCACACACUACAGUGGUUUCGCCGAGCGGCGCGCGGCGGCCGCUGAUGCCGUGCCAGCCACCGCUGGCGGCAGUGGUGCCAGCGCACCCGUCGCAGGCGCUUGGUUGCGUGGCCAAGCCCGGUGCGGCUGCCCCGAAGCCCGCUAUGGCUGCUGCGUCCGCAGGGCUUCACUGGUCGGCUGCAGCUGGAAAUGGUCGUGGCGAGUUCCUAGGCAGCGCCCCUGCAGUGCCUAUGCAAGGCCUGCAGAUGCAGCAGCCCUGGCAUCUGCAGCAUGUGGCCAGCUUGUAUCCGGCGCCGCCCCAGCAACAGCUGCAGCAGCAACAGCAGCAGCAGCAGCGGGGCGGUGAUGGCGGCUGGGGGGCCGCGGCCGGUGGCGCCGCCGCGGGUGUGCCCCAGGAGCACGCGCGCCGGCCGCAGCUGCACUUCGCAGCGGGGCAUGCUCUACAGCAGCAGCAGCAGCAGCAGCAGCAGCAGCUGCAGCAGCAGCAGCAGCAGCUGCAGCAGGUGGUGGGGCAGCAGCAGGCGCAUCAGGCAGGGCUGCAGCAGCUGCCUUUCUGGGUGCUGGCGCAGUUGCCGCCCGCGGUGCUUGUGCGGCUGCAGCACAUCAGCGCGUCAGACCCCGCGGGCUGGCAGGAGCUGCUGCAGCGGCUGCUGUGCCCGCCGCAGCACGUUCAGCAGGGGCAGGAGCAGCACUAGCCGUCUGGGAUAUACGAAGAGGCAGCGGCGGGGCGGCGUGAUGGGCAGGUGGCCUUGCCAGCCGCAGAAGCCAAUGCCGUCCUAUGUGCUUGAAGCGUUGCUUGCUGAGGGGCACUGCCUUGCGAUGGGCCGAUUCGCUGAAUACGAAAGGGGAGCUAGCGUCAUGCGCCGCAGUUACUUCCAUUCAUGUAGUAUGGGUAGCGGUCCUCUUGUUAGGGCCAUCGCGAGGGCCGCGGGCCCAAUUUAAUCGCGUGUGUAGCGCACUUUCGAGUCGUGGAGGUGGGUGAUUGGGCGGGUGGGUGCAUGGGUGCGUAGGGCACAUGCACGCCAUGUUGUCGGGAAAUGCGCGAUCAAGAUAUUCAGUAUCAACGGUGAGUUCUAGCGUUACACGGAUACGCUAAAUGAUUACGCAUGGAUGCAAGUUUACGAUCGGGAACAGCCUUGCCGUGCAGAGACCACUUAGUGCUUCGCCGGACCAAAGUAGCGUGAGCUUAGCCCCAACCCCACCCCCAAACAACUUCGUGGUGCCUGGGGAAGGGCCUUGGGCAACCCUGGUCUUGGCUUUGCCAGGCCCGGAUGUAAGCUUCAUGUUAGUGCAUACACGUCAAUAAAGCUCAGCUGUAAUCAGUGGAGCAGGCAGGCGAGGUCGCGAGGAUAAUGGCCUGCCGUCCAACAAGUGUGCCUGACCUACCGGAAGACUCCUUAACCCCCCAACCCUGUUCACAUUGCCGGUUGCAAGAACCCAGGGGUGCAAGAACCUGUCGGGCGCUUUUGAAGCGGAGAAAGCCAGGAGGCGGAAAUUACGUGCGCCCGGGACCUAGGCACGCACUACCAUCGAUACUCAGUUUCGCACUCUUGAGCCUUAACAUCUGUGUAACAGCUCACAACACGACGUCGCACUGGUGGUGCGUGUGUGAGGGUGUGAGGGUGUUCUGUGUGUGUGUGUGUGUGUGGGGGGGGGGGUGUUCUGUGUGUGUGUGUGGGGGGGGGGGGGGGUGUACACCAUGCUCGUACAGUAAUGCUGCAAAGUGCCGCCGCUGCGGGCCUGCGGCGCCGUGAGCUACGUACAGCUGCUCGAUAGUGUUCCAGCGGACGCACUGGGACGGGAAUCACAGUAAAUGGGGCGCGACUAGAGCGCCACUAACGAACCAUGACGCCAUGAGUGCCGCGCAUGCAAUGUCACCUGGCUUUUGGCACCCAUCAUAGCCGAGGGGCCAAAACAAAAUCGGGCAUGCUCAGCUCUUUUAAUGCCCGCUUUGAGCGUAGAACCUGAUUCUGACAAGGUAGCUGCAGCGAGUUGGACCUUCCGACGACCACUUUAGAGCAGGACAACCGAGGCUAAGUUCAUUCAUAUACUUUGAGAGUUUGAAGUAGCGGCCAUGUCGGGCCGAGGCCGAGGCGGUGAGCUCCAAUGGCACAGCACAGUCGGUCAUUUCGCUCGUGCACUCGCGAAGCUGCCUCAUGCUCCGCGCUUCAUGUUCUUACAGGAGGUGGAGGCUAUGGCGGAGGCUACGGCGGAGGCGGGGGAGGUGAGGGCCCGCCGGGACCCAGGGGCUUGAUAUCGCGGUCACGGGUGGUUAGCGGCAAUGGUCAGCGGUGCUAGCAGGCUGCUGCUGCUGCUGUUGCACCCGCGGCUAGCGCGGUAGCUGACAAUGCGGAGGCUAGCCAGGUAAAGGGUCCGCGGCGCUCCCGCCGCGGACAGCGCUGCUGCUUCAACGCGGCAGCUGUUCGUGUGCCGGCGCUGGGUUGUUCAUGGCUUCAUCAUGCAUAGCAGACUACUCAUGGCAGUGACUCGCUAGGGCUGCGGCGGGGCGGCAGCCUGGCAGGGCGGACUCGCAGGUCGGCGCGCGGCCUGCUGCUGCUGCUGCUGCUGCUGCUGCUGCUGCUGCGGUGGCGCCGCCGCCGCGACCGCGGCCUGCUUGGUCGCGGGCCGCCUAAAGAACUAGGCACGACUGUUUGUAUGUUCAGGCAUGGCCGUGUGGACUUGUCAUAGCCCUGCAUAGCUGCUAGUCUUCCGCGCCAAACUGGACUGCGCAAUGCAACUGCUCCUGCUGCAGGCUCCCGCGGCGGCGGCGGCGGCGGUGGGAGCGGUGGCGGCGACCGAGGAUACGGCGGUGGCGGCGGCGGCCGCGGAGGUGGCGGCUAUGGUGGCGGCAGCGCUGGCGGCGGUGGCUACGGUGGCGGCGGCGGUCGGGGCGGCGGAGGCGGCGGAGGCGGCUAUGGUGGAGGCGGCGGCGGCCGCGGAGGUGCGUGUGCUCCACGAACCAAUCGAUAUCUCAACAUUCCCGACCCACAUCGUGUCCCCAUGCCCGCACGGUCCGUACUGCCGCCCCCUGCCGUCAACCCCGGACGCAUGCAUGUGUUCACGCAUGUCUGUGUUCACGCAUGUGUGGUCACGCAUGUGUGGUCACGCAUGUGUGGUCACGCAGGCGGUGGCGGCGGCGGCGGCGUGGUGAGCCCGCAGCAGGCGGCGGCGACGCUGGACGUGGUCCUCAAGUCGGCCCGGACCCUGACCGCCAAAGUCAACGUGAGUGGCAGCCCCACGUGGCAGCUCGGCAGCCCGGGAAGCGCACGUUGCGCCGCCGCGGAUGCGUGCGUGGGUCAGUCCAAACCCCAUAGGGGGUUUGUAGAUCCCAGCCCAAACUAAACCGGGGGGAGGUGGGGUUGUAGAUACCAGCCCAAACUAAACCGAACCCAAUGCAAACGAGCGAGUGAUGAGGGUGUUGGGCCGCACGUGGUGCUGUUGUCGUGCCCCCCUGGGUCUGGAUCUGGGUCUGGGUCUGGGUCUGGAUCUGGGUCCGAGUUUGUGUGUGUCCGCCUGAGUGUGUUGUCCAUCAAUGAGCCCAAUGCGCGGUCUCAUCCCCCGAGGCACACGCGCCACACACCCACGAAUACACGCACGCCCCGCCACGCCACAGCACGCCUCUCGCCCCACACCGCGAGGGCCCGGCCCCCGCCCCCUCCCCCGCCCCCCCCACCGCCACCACCCCCGCGCUCUGGAUGGGGCCGGCGUGCUUGAGGUCCACUCGGUUGGCUCGCUCUUGAUUCGGUAAUAAACCUACCGCUCCCCCUCCCCGUCCCUUAUCCCCCGACGGCACCAGGUGGAGACGACGCCCGACGGCCGGCCGCUGGGCAUCACGCGCCGCCCCAACGCCGGCACCGUUGGCAAGGCGGUGGCGCUGCUGGCCAAUUACUUCGCACUGGCCACCACACCCGCCUUCCCGGGGCAGGUGAGGCCGGGCAGGGGGAAGCGAGGUGGGGAUGAGAAUACCAGCCCAUAACUAAAGCAAAGCAAGCCGAUGGCGGGCGGGGCAGUCUCUUUUACUUCAGUUCCCCCUCCUAGUGCGGGCCCCAGGGCCAGGCGCGGUACGGGAUGCGGUCAGGUCGGGUCAGGCCCUGUCUGGUCUGAUCUGGUCCGGUCUGGUCUGGUCCGGUCUGGCACACUGCUGUGGCGGCUUUCAGGCACGCACUGGCUUCCCCCACCACGGUGACGUCGGCGCCUCCAAGAUUGCAUGUUGUCAACGCCUUUUUCAACUGAUCAUGCCCAUCCCCUCCCAAGUGAUUUCAUCGCUUCGUUCUUCACAUGCACUGCUAUCCCCCUCAUCCCCCUCCCCACUUCCUUAACUAAUCAUGAAUGUAACCCCACCCCCAGGCCUACCACUACGAUGUGGAGAUACGCUCCGUUGAAGAGGCGGCAGGAGGUGAGGGCGUGUGUGUGUAUAGGUGUGUGUGUAGAUACCAGCCCAAACUGAGCUUACCCUGAUGCAAAAGAGCGCGGAGAAGAGCGUGGCUCAUGCUGUGACGGAGCGGAAUUCCACAGUAGUCUCCACGAGGUCUGGGCGUGUCGAUAGGGCGGGAGGCCGGGGAUGGGUAUCAUACCUGAACUGGCUUGACCUGAUCUGAUCUGAUCUACUGUCGUACCCUGCCGUAUCACAGGAGGAGGAGGCGGCGGCCGUGGCGGCGGCCGUGGCGGCGGCGGCGGCGGCGGCGGCGGGCGCGGGGGCCGGCGUGACCUGGCGCCUGCUAGUGCUACUGGCGACGUGCCGGGUGGCGCCGCCGCCGCCGCCGCCGCUGAGGACCUGCCGCCGCGGCUGGCGCACCGCGUGAUGGCGGCGGCGGCGGCGGCGCACGGCUGGCCGGCGGGGGCGUGGCGGUUUGAUGGGCGGAAGAACCUGUUCCUGCCGGGGGAGGUGAGCUGGAGGGUAGGGGGAGGGGGAGCGGGAGGGUUGCAGAUACCAGUCGAACGUAAACCGAACCGAAAAGCGGGAGGGGGAUGGGGAGCGGAAGGUGAGCACGGAGAGGGGAGCGGGAGGGGAGGGGUGUCAGCCUCCCUCGGCCCCCACUGCCUGACCCACACCACGUCAGUGAUCUGGGUCGGGCAGUGGCGGCCGCGAUCCGCAUUCCAACACCCUCGAGGACGGGAACCGUUGAGUGCUGGCAUUCCGCAAUCAAUACACUCAACAUCUGGGGCGGGUCCCUUGCCUGGCUGACGUGUUAAGCCCCUCCCCCCCCCCCAUUCAAAUACUCUGUUCUCGUGCUGCGUCCCCACCCACAACCACCUCUGUAACGUGCCCUCCCUCCUGCUAGCCUGUCCAUUUAUUCCACACCGCCCCCUCUCCUCUUCUCCUCUCCUCCCUCCGCCCCGCCCCGCAGCUGCUGCCGCGCGAGGUGCGGGAGUGGCCUGUGACGCUCAAGCCGCGCGAGGGCGACAAGAGCGAGCGCGACAAGGGCUUCGUGGUGGCUACCAAGUGGGCGGCGUGUGUGGGGCUGACGCAGCUGCAGGACUACCUGGCGCAGAGGCAGCAGACGGCGCCGCGCGACGCCAUGCAGGUGUGGUGUGUGUGGGGGGGGUGGGAUGGGUGGAGGUGUGUGUGUGUGUGUGUUAAACAAAAACAAACGGAACAAUUCCGCCAUACACGCGCGCGCAGUUACCCACAAAUACCUACGCCAGUAACCGAGCUCCGCGUGUGUGUGUGUGGGGGGGGGGGGGGGGGGCUGGGGGGGGAAGGGUGUGAGGUUUGGCGGCGGUCGGGGGGGGGGGGGGUUCGGGGUGAUUAGGCUGAACAGGAGCACUCGGGCCCUUUCCUUCCCUGCCUGCAAAUCACUGCCCAAAACCAUUUUGGUUGGGGUCUUACAAUUCCCUUGUAUGAUUUGGUCCCCCUCCCUCCCCCCCCCCCCCCCAAAAACGCUGCCCCCAUUUCCCCCUCCCUCCCCGCAGGUGCUGGACAUUGUGAUCCGGCACGCCUUCCCAAUCAACCCGCGCUGCACCGGGGGGGGCCGCGGUUUCUACUACGGCGGGAAGGGGGUGAUGCCCCUGGGGGGCGGCCCAAAAGUGNNNNNNNNNNNNNNNNNNNNNNNNNNNNNNNNNNNNNNNNNNNNNNNNNNNNNNNNNNNNNNNNNNNNNNNNNNNNNNNNNNNNNNNNNNNNNNNNNNNNGGGGGGGGGGGUUCGUGGUGAUUAGGCUGAGCAGGAGCACUCGGGCCCUUUCCUUCCCUGCCUGCAAAUCACUGCCCAGAACCAUUUUGGUUGGGGUCUUACAAUUCGCUUGUAUGAUUUGGUCCCCCUCCCUCCCCCCCCCCCCCCCACACACGCUGCCCCCACUUCCCCCUCCCUCCCCGCAGGUGCUGGACAUUGUGAUCCGGCACGCCUUCGCGAUCGACCCGCGCUGCACCGUGGUGGGCCGCGGCUUCUACUACGGCGGGGAGGGGGUGAUGCCGCUGGGGGGCGGCGCAGAGGUGUGGAGUGGAUUCCAGCAGGUGAGGGGGAGAGAGCAGGGGGGGGAGGGGCUGGGGGAGGGGGGGAGGACUGUAGGGGGGCGGACUAUAGGGGGGCGGACUGUAGGGGGCGGACAGGGGGAUAGGAGUGGGAGCGGGUCAUUGAAAAUUCAGCCCAGCCCAAACGUAGGAGCACGAGGAGAGCUCGAAGAGAGGCCAAUACAUCAUAUCCGCAUAUGCCUUGAGCCGGAGCGCCUUUGCAGGCGCAAGCCCGUAAACCGUAACAAUGCUGAUACCGGCGCCACGCACCUUGCCGGCGCUCCCAUCGUGUGCGGACGUGCCGGCGGCCUGCGCCUUGGAUAAACAUGAAUGUAACCCAACACCCAAACCACCCCACACACACGCCCCCCCUCCCCCCCCCCCACACACACACAUACACACACUCACACACACGCGCGCCCCCCCACACACAUACACACACACCUUGAGCCCCACACCUUUGAAACCCCCACCUUGAACCCCCACCCCCACCCCCGCAGUCCUUCAAGGCGGUCCAGGCCGGCCUCAUGCUCAACCUGGACUCCUCCUUCGCAGCCUUCAUGUCCGCCCGCCCGCUGCCCGAGCUGCUGGCGGAGGGCGCGGGCGUGCGCGGCGGCCCGGCGCAACUGGCGGCGGCCGACCCACGCCGGCUGAGGGCGGCUGCCAGGUCGCUGGUGGGGUUCAAGGUGUGUGUGUGUGUGUGUGUGUGUGUGUGUGUGUGUGUGUGUGUGUAUGUGUGUGCGUGUGUGCGUGUGCGUGUGUGUGUGUGUGUGUUAAAGAGCACAAGGAAAACAUUGCGCAAAGACAGUGUAUGCGAUGCACCAAAGCGACGGUUUACGGAUGUUAUGUGUGUGUGUGUGUGUUUGUGUGUGUGUGUGUGUGUGUUUGUUUUUUGCGGGGGCCGGGGGGAUGGAGGGGACGGGGUUUUGGGGUGAUAAGCCGUACACAUGGAGAGCGUGGGGCUGAGGGUGUGAGGGGGGGAUAGAGUGUGGCAGGCCGGGAGGCUUUGAACGCUCACGCGCACACGCACACAUAACACACACACACACACCCUUCCCCCCACCUCCCAUCUCCCCUCCCCUCCCUCAGGUGGAGUUCCCCAUGCCCGGCGGCCGCGCUCGGCGCAAGAUGCUGACGGGGCUGAGCGAGCAGGGAGCAGACCGCACCAUGUUCAUGAACGAGAAGGAGGGGCGGUGAGAGGGCGGGCGGCGUGAGUGUGGUGUGGAACAAAUGUGGAACGAAUGGUGGGUGUGGGGGAAUGCGUGCGUGCGUGCGGGGGCCUGGUGUGUGGCGGGCCCCACCCACACAGGCCCUUACCCCAAACCCCACACCCACCCCCCAAACCUUACACCCACACCCACCCACCCACACACACACACACGCCCCACACCCCGCCCCCUCCCCCCGCUCCCCCCCCCCCCAGUGAGAUGUCAGUGGCCGAGUACUUCCGCUCCACUGGCCGCCCGCUGCGCCACCCCGGCCUGCCCUGCGCCAACGUGGGCGACCGCCGCCGCGCAGUCUACAUUCCGCUGGAGCUGUGCACGUGAGCGUGAGGGGGGGGGAGAGGGAUGGGGGAGCGGGGUGGGGGUGUGUGUGGGGUGGGUGGGUGGGUGGGCUGGUGGGUGGGCUGGUGGCUGGGUGUGUGUGUGUGUGUGUGUGUGUGUGUGCGUGUGUGCAUACGCGCCACCACCUGUACCUUCACGCACGUCCACCCCUGCACGCAACCCUUCGCUCUCUCGCCCCUGUACAACGACUUGUCGACGACUUCUCGCCACACGUUACCAUGCAUUGGACCCCCCCCUCUCUCCCCCUCUCCCCACCGCCCUCUCCCCACCGCCCUCUCCCCUCUCCCCCUGUCCCCUCCCCCUCCCCCUCUCCCUCCUCCCCCUUCCUCUAACCCCCCUCUCCUCCCCUCUCCCCCACCCCCCCUUCCUAGUGUGGUUGCUGGCCAGCGGCGCAUGAAGCUGGACGCCACGCAGUCGGCCGGCAUGAUCACCGCCGCCAAACAGGAUCCGGCGGUGAAGGCCGAGGCAUGCAACAAGCAGGUGGGGUUGGGUGGGAGAGAGAGAGAGUGUGUGUGUGUGUGCGUGUGCGUGCGUGUGUGUGUGUGUGUGUGUGUGUGUGUGUGUGUGCGUGUGUGUGUAUGUGCGUGCUGCACGGGCACCAGCGGGUGGGGGGUGGGGUGGAUGUGCUUGGGUGCUUGGAUGCUUUCGGAAGCGAUUUUGCUGCGAGGGGCCGCACACUGCUGGCACGGGCUGCACGGGCAUAUUGGCACGGGCACAGGCUGCAACGUAUAUGAUACGGCAACUGAGCGCCUGUGCGGCUGUGCGAGCAAAGGCCGAUGAAACCCGCCCAGGCCCGCCCCUCCAAUAACCUCCUCCAUUGUCACCACUGCCUGUUCGGAUUGGUUUGGUUACGGCUGGUAACUACAACCCCACCUAACGACGCGCCUGCUGUACCAAUGCGCCUGGCUACAACUCUUCUUCUCAUGUGUUUUGAAUGUAACCAUCACACACUUAAACGCACACAGGCCAAGCGGGUGGCCGAGGCUCUGGCUGCGGGCGGCACUGAGCGGUCCUGGGGCCUGAAGCUGGGCACCGGCAUGCUGCCGGUGCAGGGGCGCGUGCUGCCCAACCCCGUGCUGCAGUACGGCAACCGACAGGACUUCGACGCGGGGCCGCUGGGCAGCUGGAACACCCUGUGAGUGCGCGUGCGUGUGUGUGUUAAAAAAAACGAAACGAAAGCCCGCCCAGACGACGCCGGAGUUACUUACCGAUACCCACCAUUUUACCGAGCGUCGCGUGACUGUCGUGACCCAGGUAGUCAUACUUACCCGCGAUAAGCCUGGAACCCCACGGGCGACCAUUCGGCCUGACCCCGCGAUGCACCUGUAUGCGUCCAUGCUCCGCACCCUGGGCGCGCUAAACAACGUUUACCCAGCACGCCUAAUUCCCGGAUUCCCGCCCGCGUGUGUGUGUGUGUGUGUGUGUGUGUGUGUGUGUGUGUGUGUGUGUGUGUGUGUGUGUGUGUGUGUGUGUGUGUGUGUGUGUGUGUGUGUGUGUGUGUGUGCGUGUGUCCGCAACUCAUCAUGUCAGUUUCACGUGUUUCAGAGUGCGAGCCUGUGAGUCACACGUGUCAUAGAGAGUGGGAGCCUGUCAGUUGGCCAUGUGUGCCAGCUAGCGGGACCCGAAAACUGGGUGUGUCCAUGUCGCCCGUUGUACCCCCUUGCCAACCAUCUUUGCAGCCUCCACCCCGCCCCACCCCGACGACCGCACUUCUUAUUUCUUCAUAAAUGUACCGUAACCCCCCCCCCCGCUCAUGUGGUAACGACUUCGUCUGCAGUCUUCAGUGCAUCCUGUACCGCUUUUCCAAACAUCCCUGCAACCCCCCCCCCACACACACACACACGCACCCCCCCUGGAAACACACGCACACCCCUACACUCCCACUCCCCAGCAAUGUCAAGUUUGUGGACGCACGCGCACUGGACUCGUGGGCCGUGGCCGUCAUGAUGAACCAGGCGGUGGGUGGGGGCGGGCGGGCGGGGGCGGUGGGCUGUGGGGGAAAGGGACGCAGGCUGGUAUCUAUCGCGCGCGCGCGCCCCCCCGCCCCCCCCACACACACAAUACACAAAACACCCAACACAGGACGUGGACUUUGACGGCGACAACAGCAUCUGGAAAUUCCUGGAGGACCUCUGCUCGGCCAUGAUCACCCGCGGCAUGCGCGUGGCCAGCCCCGUGACCCGGGGCUCCAACGACAGCCCGCCAGUGGAGUACGGCGGCGCGGCGGCGGGCGGCGGCGCAGCAGGCCGCGGCGGCGGGGCCCGCGGCGUCGAGGCGACCCUGCGCGCGGCGGCAGACGCGGCGGCGGCGCGGUACAAGAAGCCGGCGCAGCUGGUGCUGGUGGUGCUGCCGGUCAAGGUGUGUGUGUGUGUGUGUGUGUACCAGGAGCGGGGGAUGCCGGGGGGGAUGAGGGGCUGGGGGGCUGGUGGAGGCGGGUGUGUGAGGCGGCGGGGGCGGCGGGGGCGGGGAGGAGCAUGGAGGCGCUGACAUUAAAACCGCCGUGUGUUGUAAUCAAAAGCCUGUAGCCCCACGGGCGGUCGGCGAACGACGCGACCCAAGCGCAAUGUAUGCGCCGCGCCCUGGGCGCGCUAGCACGUUCCCUGACCCUGUAUCCUGCCCCUCCCGCCCUCCCCCGCCCCUGGCUAUGCCUCCACUUGUUGAAUGCAACUCCCGCCCUCGCCCGCGCCAUUACUCCUUCUUGGAUGAUGAACGUAACCCCGCCCCCUCCCCCGCCCCCCUGCCCGCCCCCCCCCCCCCGCCUUUCCCCCGCCCAGCCCUCGGACGAGUACCGGGAGGUGAAGCGCGUGUCGGACAUCGAGUUGGGCAUACCCAGCCAGGUGGUGGUGGGGGGCAAGGUGAGAGCAGUAAGGGGUGUGAGGGGCAGAAGAUGGUGGAAGGUGGAGGGAGGUGGAGGGAGGUGGGAGGAGGGGGAAGGUGGAGCGGGGGGGGGAGGUGGCAGGUGGAAGCAGGUUGAAGGUGGAAGCAGGGGGAGGGAGGGAGGUGGGGGUUGGAAGGAGGUGGAGCGCGGGAGGUGGAGCGCGGGAGAAGCGAUUACUUAUGGGGGGAGGCAGGGGGGAGGCAGGGAACCACCAACUCGGCAGGGGCUGUGUGGCGCUGCCAUGCACGUGGGCCCCCACCACGGGCCCCCACCACAAGCCAGCCGCGGCCAUCCUAUGGACAUGGACAUUCGCACCGCACCUCCCCCGUAACCGCCUGAAACCGCCUGAAACCGCCGUGACCGCGAUCACAUCUCACACACACACACACACACACACACACACACACACACACACACACACACACGCUCGCACACACACACUCACACCUGCACCUGCCCCAAACCGACCACUCCAACCAGGCGCGUGUGGGCUACCGCGAGCAGAGGGGCGGCGGCCCGCAGUACUGCGCCAACGUGGCCAUGAAGAUUAACAACAAGCUGGGCGGGGUCAACGUGCAGCUCAGCGGCGGACUGCGGUGAGCGUGGGCGGGCAGGGGGAGGCGGGCCAGAGGGGAGGGCGGGGUGGGCGGGUGGGUUGGUUGGUGGGUGGCUGGGUGGGUGGGGGGUAGCCGUUCAUGGAGGGCGGAGCGAGAUGGAUGACGUUGAUUAUGAAAAUGCCCCGGAUCUAACGGGUCCUCGACUAAAUGAGACCUACUUCAUUGGGCUCGGGCACACAACCCUCCACACACCCGUUUACCAACUCUAUCUUCCCUCCCUCCUCCUCUCCCGCUCCACAGCUACAUGCCCGUGCUGGGCGGCGCGGGCUCCGUGCCCUUCAUGGUGUUGGGCGCCGACGUGACGCACCCCACCGGCGCCGCCGCGCGCGCCGACAGCCGCGACCCCUCCGUGGCGGCUGUGGUGGGCAGCCUGGACGCCAGCCUGGGCCGCUGGGCCAGCCGCGUGCUGCUGCAGGCGGGGCGCCAGGAGGUGAUCACGGGCAUGUGCGGCGCCACAAAGGAGCUGCUGCUGGAGUUCUACAGGGCAAACAAGUGAGGGGGGAGGGGGGGCGGAAGGGAGGGGGGAGGGAGGGAGGAAGGGGGAAGGGAGGGGGAAGGGGAAGGGUGUUCUGUGCCCUGGCGCCCAAACGAGAACCCACCACGACUAGUCAUUUCGCAAACACACACACACACACGCACACACACACACACACACACACACACACACACACACACACGCACGCACACACACACGCACACGCAUACACGCGCGCACACACACACACACACACACACACGCACGCCCACAGGCAGGUCAAGCCGCAGCGGCUGGUCAUGUACCGCGACGGCGUGUCGGAGGGCCAGUUCGAGCAGGUGGGGCGGGUGGGGUGGGGUGCAGGUGGGCGGAUGGGGGCAGUGAGGUGCGGUAGUUGCAAUGCGAUCCGGCGGUGCAGUGGGUGUGGGAGUGGGAGUGGGAGUGGCGGUAGUUGAGUUUGCUCUGAUUAAGUUUGGCCCGGUAUUUACACCACCACCCCCUCAAUGCCCAGGUCCUAGCGGAGGAGUUCACGGCCCUGCGCCGCGCCUGCCGCGAGCUGGAGGAGGGCUACCGGCCCGCCAUCACCUUCGUGGUGGUGCAGAAGCGCCACAACACCCGCCUGCUGCCCAACGACCGCGCGUCGGCCGACCCCAAGUGCGUGAGGGGGGGUUUGCAUUCAUGAUUACCGUGACUAAGAAGUGAAGGGCGGAGGGAUGGGUGUUAGAUGGUUGGUGGUUGGUUGAGAAGUCUUAUGCGCAGAGGUGUUGUUGGUAUGGUAUGGGGUCACGUGGGUGCGUCGGGCGGCACUUGGGGUGGCAGCUGUUGUGUUUCGUAGUGGUUUGCCACUGCUACACACAUAUACACACACACGGCGUCGUCUGGGCGGGCUUUCGUUUCGUUUUUUAAAACACACACACACACACACACACACACACACACACGCAUGCGACCGGGGCCCCAUGCUCUCCUCUCUCUCUUUCUCACCCCACGCGCUGGAGCUGGCCGCUGGACUUCACGGACAUCGGUAACAACGCGUCUACUAUGCGACUGCACCUGCCUACCACUUCACUUCUUUAUUAAUCAUGAAUGUAACCCCACCUCCACCUCCUCCCCACCUACCCCAGGGGCAACGUGGUCCCCGGCACGGUGGUGGACAGUGGCAUCACCGCCCCGGACGGCUUCGACUUCUACCUCAACAGCCACUCCGGACUGCAGGUGGGGGGUGGAUGGGGUGGGGGUGGUUGUAGAUUCCAGCCCAAACUAGCUAACCCAAUGCAGUAGAGCGAGUAGAGCGUGAGAGCCUAUGCUUGACAACGGAGUGGCACGCGACAACAGUCCCCAUCCCCGAAAUGCACCGAGUUCCCAGGGGGGUGGGUGGCGUGUGUGGGUGUGGGUGUGGGAGAGGUGGGCGGGCAGCAGGGGGGCCGCAGGAAGUAGAGUUUUAGCUGGUAUCUGCAACCCCACCCCCACCACCACCCCCACCACCACCCCCACCCCCACCCCCACCCCCACCACCCCACCCCCAACCCAACAGGGCACCAACAAGCCCGCCCACUACCACGUGCUGGUGGACGAGAUCGGGUUCGGCGCCGACGGCAUGCAGCUGCUCACCUACUGGCUGUGCUACCUCUACCAGCGCACCACCAAGUGAGGAGGGGAAGAGGGCUGGGGGCGGGGGGAGCUGGGGGAGAGGAGGGGGAGCUGGGGGAGAGGAGGGGGAAGGGGGGCGGGAGAGGAGGGGAGGAGGGGGAGGGGCCCAGCCAUUCAUGCGAACGGUUUGUAUGAAGCAUGAAACUGCCGAGGCACAGCGGAGCCUCCAGAGGCACAGCGGGAACACGCCGGGGACAGUUGGCCGUGCGUCAACACUGGAGCUAGCGCGAGGGCAGGAUGGGGUGGGGUUGCGGGUCGGUCGGGGCUUUGACGCCGCCUGGACGGCGGCCGCGGGGAGCCUUGGGCAGGCCUGGCUGGCAGGGGGAGCGUCCACGCACCAGGAACGUAGCAUACGGUGCGUGCUCGAGGGGGCGCGAGGGCACGGCGCCCUCGCUCCGGAGUGAGCCCUGAACUAGCUCAGCUGCGCCCCCACACUGCAACGGGCCCAAAGGGCCGCUGUGCCGUGUCGCACACCUGUCCCCUCCGCCCCUGCGCCCUUCCGCCUCUCCGCUCCGCCCAUCCUCUGCGCUCCUCCCCCCUCCUGCUAUACUACUGUACCUGGCUACGCCUUUACUUCAUAAAUAACCAUGAAUGUAACCCCUCUCAGGUCGGUCAGCUACUGCCCGGCCGCCUACUACGCCGACCGCGCCGCCUUCAGGGGCCGCACACUGCUGGUGAGAGGGAGGGGGGCAGGGGGCAGCAGAGGGGGCAGGGUAUGGGAGGGGGCAACAGGGGUUGUAAAUACCAGCCCAAAGUGAGUCAAACCAAGGGGCCAGGGAUUGAGUUCGUGCCCAAACACCAGACACUAUCACUUUCUCACCCAAGCAUACCAGUGGGGAGGGAGCUGCGCCGGUGCGUGGGUACGUGGCACGCAGGUUGGCAUUGCGGGCACGUCCGCUGACCUUGCUCCCCAACCCCACCCCGCCCACUUCGUCCCCAUCUGGUAACGACUUUGUCUGCAGUCUUCAGCGCAUCCUGUACCGCUUUUCCAGCCAUCCUUGCCCCCUCCCCAACCCAAACCCACCCCGCCCCUCCCACCCACUCCGCAGGCCGCCUCCUCCUCCGCCUCUGACAGCGCCUCCGAGUCCGGCAGCCGAGCCGGCCGCGGCGCGGGCGCGGCUGAGGGCGGCGCCAGCGCCCCGCCCACCUUCGCCGGCAUCCACCGCAACCUGUCCAACGUGCUGUACUUCAUGUAGAGAGAGCGCUGUGGAGCAGCAGGGCGGCUGGGGGCGGAGGGGCACAGGCCGACAGGCGGCAGGGGGGAUGGAGGAGCACAGGCGGCAGGGUGGAUGGAGGAGCACAGGCGGCAGGUGGGGAUGGAGGAGCACGCAGUAGCUGGCGUGUGGGCAGUAGCAGCUGCGCGGGUGGUGGAGAGAGCUGCGAGCUGGAGGAGAGAGCUUGGUUGUUCGGAGCGGGGAGGAGCUGGCUCGGAGGUCUCCGUAUGGAAGGGGCAGGGGCGGCAAUUUGGGUCCGGUCCGUGAGGGCUAUUGUAAUGGCACUUGGCUGAAUGGCUGAUGCGCAAGUGUACAGUAUUGUGUUUUGGCGGUGUGAAUUUUGCUGCGCGGGUGGAGGAGGAGGUUCAACAGGCGGAGGGAAGGGACUGCGUAGAUACGCACAGGCGCACAGGAACAAGGAAAGUCACAGGCCACGUAUCAGGAUGUGUUCGGAUGUCCGGAUCAGGACACGUGUUGCGACGCUUGGCGUCGUGCACGGGACUGUCUGACAGACUGUAGACAGUGGGCUGGCGUACGGUUGAACAUGGGGGCGGCAAUGUUGUUGAGUUGUUGGUGCACCGUUUCGGCGCACUGCUGCUGGGUGGAUGGUGUGGCUGGUUGGCAGCGUGGGAGGCGCGAGCGAGGGACGCGCAUCAUCAUCACCUGAUGCGCAUGCAUGCCUCCGUGGCAUUGGCCAAAUGGAGGGAGGUGCCACCACAGGCGGGCGGAAGUGGCCGCGAUGCAAGUUUUGUUGCUUAAGGCAGGGGCCAGCCGAGGUCAUGAGGUUUAUCUGAGACGACGGGCGGACGGGUCUGGAGGGGGCUGGGCUAGAGGAUGCCAGGGGCCACAUUCGCCACAGCAGCAGGUGGGGUGCGGGGAGCGAAGGCAGUUGCCCGGUUGCAGUCGAGUCAGGGACGGAGUUGCAAACCUCCAAAUCUCUUCCGCUGUGUGCCUCACUCGUCUCACUGACCUAGUAGAGGCGUGGCAGGCAUCGCUUGUGCGUCACGCUGCAGCGCUGCCGCUGCCUGCCGUACUUGUUCGUCUCGUUUUGUAGGUCGCCCAGCCUGCCGCACAACGGCCUACCGGCCCCACGCACUUACGUACCCAAACACCUGCGCAGCCCCGCCCCCGGCCGGCAGGCCACACUGCGGUAGCCCAAUCCCGGCACACACGACGUAGACAUGCAGCAGCACCGCCGUUGGAUAUUGCAUUGGUUACAAGAGGGACCCGCUGACGCAGUUCACGAGCCAGUGCCGGAAAACGAUCACCUACCCUGCUCUGGACCCCAGGGGCGUGCCGCCGCCUGCAACGCCGUCGGCCUGCUCUAGCUCAAGUAUUGCAAGGCUCCCAUAGGACGCUCCACUCCUCCCACAAGGAGCAGGGCACACCAGGUCCACACCAGACUACCGUAUAGCCACCGCCGCGCAUAUCAUAUGAUCAUAUCUGUUACAAUCCUUCCCCGCCUCAUGCCGGCAUCACAGUUCAUCCAAGUUCAUCCAAGUUCAGGCCACCAAGCACAAUAAUUGAAGGGCCCCCGCACCACCCGCGCCUGCACCAGCAGUGUCCUACCGGCUAUGGCGCACCACGGGGCCUCAAACCUCCCAUGGUGCGUUAGACCUCUAUCUCCAGGAUGUCCUAGCGUCAGAUUUACGCACCUGCUGCUGCGCACUUCGCACUGCCUGGCGGCGUCCUACACGAUACCUUACCAUACCUUACCCAUACACCACACCAUAAGCAGUAUCCCUCACCGCGGCGCACGCUGCAUAUGCCCAACGCCCAGUAGGGACCGCCUGCCGCCACCUGCUACACCUGCCUGCUAGCUAGCUAGCUAGCUACACCUGCUGCCGCGCCGCACCCGCCGCCGCCGCCGAGGAGCCCGCGGCCGCGCCCCCCGCCAGCGCGGCCGCCAGCGCCUUCUCCAUCGCGUCCCGUAGCAGCCGCUCCACAUCCACCACCGUCGCCCCCUCCUCACGCCCCGGCCCCUGAUGAUACCCGCCCGGCGACGGCAUGGCCGCCGCAUGUGCCGCCGCGGGGGAGGCCACCUCGGGCUUGAAGGACACGCGCGGCACCAGGAAUGCGCGCGGGUCCGUCGCCGACGCGACGCCGCCCCGCACGCCGCUGCGCCCCGUCUGGCCCAGCGCCAGCAGCUGCUGCUGCCCCGGCUGCUUGGACUGCAGCAGCUUGCGGAUGCUGCGCACCUGCGGCGCGCGGGAUGAAGACGGAGGCAUGCCCGGCGAUGGUGCACGUCAGUGGGGCAGAGGAUGGAAUGGGAGCACGGCGGUGUGCGCCCAGGCACCCUCCCCUCUACCGCCCAGGCACCUGCCCUCUACCACCAGGCACCCUCCCCUCUACUGCCAUCACCACCACCAUCCUCGGCAGCAUGUAUGAGCAGCACGGCGCGUGGCGUGUUCCUGCGAAGGGGGCUACUGCCGCUGGUACCUGCCUCGUCGCGACCCUCCGCCCACCCACACCCUCCCACACCCUCCCACACCCUCCCACACCCUCACACACACGCACUCCACCCCCCCCCACACACACCCUCCCCCCCCAAAACACACACACACACACACACACACACACACGCACCUGCGCUCGGCUGCCCCGCAGCUCCGCCAGCUCGCGCUGCUGGCGCUCGCUGAUGCGCGGUGCCAUGGGGCCGUACACCGCCACCAGCGCACGCACCAGCUGAGAGGCAGGAGGAGAGGGAAGGGUGGGGGGAGGGGUGGCGAGGAGGUGAGUGGGGAGGGGAAGAAAGGGGCCGGUGAGGGCGCGAGACACUCAUUACGGACAUGCAAUGGGCAUGCCACGACGCGUCCCAUUCGGAGAUGCAGCUGGCUGCAGCUGGAAGAGAAGGGGCUGCAGCUGAACAGAAUCAAGCCAGCUUGAACUUAUGCCUGAACUCAGAGCCGAGCUUGAACUCAUGCCGCGCCGCCCUGCCCACCUUCUUCAGGUUCUCAUCGUGUCCGUCCAGCGAGCUUGCCAGGAAGGGCCAGAAGGGGUUGGGCCGGGUGGUCAUGAACACGGCCCUGCACCACAGCCCCGACAGCGUGGCCGCCCGCCCGCACCAGCUCCGCCUCCACCAGCUCGACAGCCGCUGCCGCCACCCCGCAACCACAGGCGAAGCCUGCUGCUGCGUCUGCAGCGGCUGCUGCGUCUGCUGCGUCUGCUGCGUCUGCUGCUGCGUCUGCGUCUGCGUCUGCGUCUGCUGCUGCUGCUGCUGCUGCUGCUCCGGCCCCGGUGACGGCUGCGGCCCCGGGCCCGGCGACGGCGAGGGCGGCGGCGACGAACCCUUGCCGCCCGCGCCACUGCCAUCAUCGGCAACCGGAGCCGGGUCAGCGGGCGCCAGCGGCGGCGCGGGGGCAACCGCGCCCCCGUACGCAGCCGCGGCGGCGGCGGCACUGGCGCGGGGGCGGCCAAAGUGCUGCUGCUUGUAGUCCCAGCAGCGCUGCCACGCGCGCUCCACCUGCGCCUGCAGCGCCAGGCCCGCGCGGCACGGCCCCUCCACCAGCAGCCGCAUCACCUCCGCCUCGUAGGCCUGUCCGUGCGCGGGGAGGGGGGAACCCACGCGUGCAUUACGAGAUUGUAAGUGCGUACGAAUGUACAUGGGAACUUAACGUGUGCGUGGGGUCGCAGCACGUGACCGGAGGGCCGGUGGGCAAGUGCAUGACAUGCACCCUGCCUCGGUUGACCCACACCCGCACCCUGUCACGCUCCAACAGCGCACACCCGAGCAAAGACACAACGCACGCCCCAGCAAAGACACAACGCACGCCCCAGCAAAGACACAGAGCACACCCCAGGCCGCCGCACACGCAGGCCAAGUAAGCCCAAGCCCACCUCCACGUAAAAUUUGAGCUCCACUGUGUCAAGCAGCACCACCGACGCCCGGUCUGGGUCCGCCACCUCAUCCUCCAUCGGGUGCACGUGUGCCGCAUGCAGCGGCGCCGCCGCGGGCGCGGCGCCCUUGCCGGGCGGCGGCGGCGGCGAGGAGGGCGGCGGCGGUGUCGCCGGCGCUACCUUGACGGGCGCGGAGGUGCGCGCCGACGCCUUCUUGGGCCGCGAGGAGAAGGUCUGCAGCUGAGGCAGCAGCCGCACCGGGCCCCACUGCGCAGCCGCACCGCUGCCGCCACCAGCGGCGGCGGCCGCGACGUUGCUGCUUCCCAUCGGCGCAAGGCGGCCGCCGCCGCCGCCGCCGCCGCCGCCGCCACCGCCGCCGCCGCCGCCGCCACCACCACCGCUGCCCCUGAACCUCAGGCGCCACAUGCUGUACACCGCCUCCGCGUCCUCCAGGUCCGCCAGGUCCGCCUCCUCCUCCUCCGGCGGCUGGCCCUCCUCCGCCGCGCCGCCGCCGCCGCGAGCCGCACCGCCGCCCUCCUUGGCGCCGCCGCCGGAGCUCAAGCGCGGGACCUUGCCGGCCGCCUCAAUCGCCAGCAGUGCCGCCGCCGGCGGCUCGGUAGUUGCAAAAGGGCUCGCCUGGUGCCUGGCCGCCGCCGCGGUCAGUGGCGGCGGCGGCGGCGCCGCCUCAUUGUUGCCUGCGGCGGCGGAGCCGGCGCGGUGACCGCUGCCGUUGCCGCCGCCGUCACCAGCUGUGCUGUCAUCCAAAUCCUCCGGCUCCUCCGCAAGCACGGCCAGCACAGGCGCCGGCCGCAGGGCCUUGUUGGAGCCCUCAGAAAGCAGGCCCACGCCGCCACCGGUGCUGCUGCCGCCGCCGGCGGGGCUGCUGCCGCCAGGCGCCGGGUCCGCCCCGUCACGUCCUCCAGCCGCGGUGCCCGGUGUCAGGUGAGUUGCGGCAACUGAGUAACUCAAGGCGAUUGGCUUGUUUGCCGCUCUCGUUGCGAGCUCGGCUGCUGCGGCGGCGGCCGCCUCGCUCCGCGCCUCCUCCACAGCGUGAACCUAAAGUGCCGAGAUGGGUGAAGAGCGGCAGUACUGUCAGGCUCCUAAGAACCCCUGCAUGCACUUGCUCCUGUAAGGAACCUGCAGUCGACUUUUACUUGACAUCGCCAAGCCGGCCAAAGCAAUCAAUGACAUGCUUACAGCGACGGGGCUCUAGUGCCACCAAUUAUCGUUCAUGCCGCAUGCAGUUCUUCCACAAGGUUUCUUCCCGCUCACCGGCAGCACGUUGAGGCGGCUCAUUGCCUCGUCGUCAAAGAACGCGACCAGCGCCGCCAUUUGCGGGCUGGAGGCCAGGCGCCAGCGCGCCAGCGUGAAGGAGAAGGUGCGGGUGGGGUCUGCGAUGCGGCAUCGCAAGACAGGCAAAGGGCUGAGCGGGCAGGGACCAAUGCAGAGGAGCAGCGAGCCAAGUGGAGGAGCUAGAGGGGCUAGAGGAGCUAGGGGAGCUAGAAGAGCUAGAGGAGGAAGUGGGCGGAGGACGGGCAACGGACGGAUGGCUGCCGCGCCUCGCUCCCGCCCCUUCAUUCCCCAAGCAGCCGCCCCCCUGCACGGCUGCACCCACCUCGCAGCGUGCUGCCUUUGCUCAGGAUGAGCAGCUUCUGGCGCUGCUGCUGCACAAACCUGCCGCGGCAGAAAGCAACGGAUACAGUACGAAUGAUUAUUAGAGCACCGCGGCCUUCUUAAGGGCCUUGCCAACCAGACCCCCCCCCGCCCUCUCCUGCUCCCCAACCCCAACCCGCCAGCCCCAGCCCACCAAUCCCCCAAAGCAACAAACCCAUCUGCUGGGUGCCGCCACCCUCAACCCUACCCUACCUGCAGAGCGCCGCCACCCUCUCCUCCUGCCCAACCAGACCCACCAAUCCCCUCAACCAAACCAACCCUACCCUACCCUAAUAACCACCACCGCACCUGCUGGGCGCCGCCGCCUUCCGGGCGUCGCCCGCCGCCAGCAGCUCGAAGUCGCGCAGGUGCGCCUCCGCCCAGUACAGCCGCAGCCGGUACGGCAGGCCGUACAGGUACCAGCCCGCCCGCCAGAGCGCCAGGCGCCAGGCAGGGACGGCUCUGGACGCGGGCUGGGGCAGGGGCUGGGGCUGCUGGGGGUGGGGCUGGAGUUGGGGCAGGGGCUGUUGGGGCUGGAGUUGGGGCUGUUGGGGCUGGGGGGGUUGCUGGGCGGGGUCGGCCGCGCCAGCGGGACUCGACAGAGGCAAGGAGGGCUGCGGGGACGGGGUUGGGCCCGCACCCGUGCCCGCACCCGCACCCAGGUCACCGCUGUGCGACGCAGCUGUGAGCGCCACAGGCGCCUGCUGCGCGCCGCCUGCGGAGCCCGGGCCCGGGCGGCCGUUCUGCGUCACUUGCGGCCGCAGGUAGCGCCGGAUGGAGCCCAGCCGCUGCUGCUGCUCCUGCUCGCCGGCCAUGCGGAACGUCUGUGCGCGCUGGAGCUCCGGCUGGCCGGGGCUGGUGCCGCUGGCGGCGGUGCCCACGCCCAGGCCAGCAGUAGCACCCGCGCCGCCAGCCGCAGGCGCGCCGCCACCACUCGAGCCGCCCACGACCAAGCCAUCCGCAUCCGACACGGCAUCAUCGCUCACGCCGUUCUGCAGCGCGUAGGCCCGGCUCCAGUACACCCAUUGCUGCAUGCCCGCUCCGCUGCUGCCGCCCGGCCCCGGCAGCCGCCCCUGCGCCUCACCGGCACCCGCUACCCUGCCCGUCGUCCCCACCGAGCCCUGCGUCUUCUCGCCGGGACUGGCGGCCUUCGCGCGCGCCUGCUGCUUGCGUAGGUGGGCGUCGUAGCACGUGACACCGAGCGGGUCCGUGACCAGCGCCCACACGAGCGUGAGCAAGUAGUUGCGGGCGCGGUAGGUGAGGAGGAAGCAGAAGUCGUAGAACGCGUGCAGCAGGAAGAUGGAGUCCUGGGCACCGCUGGCCGCCGCGCCCUGCUUGGCCGUCUCGUAGGCGCGCGUGAAGAUCUGUGGGCGGCGGUGGCAGUGGGGUGGAGCCAGGCGCGGGGCCAGAGGUGGGUGCGCGUGGUGGUGAGGGAGACGGGCGUUGCGGAGAACACAGGCGCACUCUUGGCGGCAAUGCCAUGGUGCACGUAGAUAGCGCGAGGCCAUGUGUGUGCAACCCCAAGCACACACCCUCCCCGCCGACGCCCCACCUGCUCACACUACGGUACUGUCCCACAGCCGCAAACAUGCACGUCUGCAGCUGCCCGCGCCACUCACCGCCAGCAGCGUGUUCUGCACAACCAGCACCAGCAGUAGCACGCUCACCCUGAGAAGAGGUAGAACAGGGGAAGGGCGGUGGUGGGAGGAGGUGGGGUUUGCGGGCGGCAGCAUGGCAUGCGUGUCAAACCCGGGCCCAGCCCCCCCCCCUCCGUGCAGCCGCCCCACAGCACCCGCCGGCUGUGCGGCACACAUGCUUCAUGUGCACGUGCACAAAGGCGUUUCGUUCAGUCGCCUGCGACCCACGCCUGCGCGGCACCCUCCCGUGACUGUGCACGGCCCCUGCACCCGCCCGGUACCCGCUGUAAAUCUGUGAUGCUGCCAAGGAGAAGGAGCCCGUGGGCAUUGCAUGCACGCAUGGCACACGGCCUCACCAGAACAGCACCACCACUGCGGCGCCGUAGGAGCCCAUGCCGUUUCCGCUCUGCAUGUCGAUUGGGCACGGAUGGUGGCGCACGGGCGUCAGGGGCGAGCGGGUGAAGGCGGACUAGUUGGGGCGGAUUAGCGAACUAAUCCCUGUGACACGCUUGUGCUACGCACUCCUGCUACGCAUAUGCCCGGCUCUGGCUCACAUUCACGAAUGUGUCGUAAUCCAAGAAGCCGAAGGACAGGCGUGUCAGGGCGGACAGGCCCGACCCAAACGCCGUGAACACGCUGUUGCCGCCGGAGAUAAUGAAGACACCUGAAAUACGAACGCGGGGCGAGCAGCUAUUAUUGCGGCGGGUUGGCGCGCGUUAGAAUGGUGAAGGCAAGACAGUGGCGCGGCACACGUGUACGGCCAGCUGGUGUACGGGACCGUAUCCUCCACCAGACCCUUCAGAUCGCAAGUCCUCAAUCUCACGCAGAAUUAUACGCCACAUCAGGCCAUCACGUUCUAAAGCGCUACUCACCGAAGAUGGCUGUGGCGAGCAGCACCGCAAUGCCGAUCACGAAGGUCGCGAACUCCAGGAUGUCGUAAUAGGCAAGCCUGCAUGCACCGGUAUGCAGCACGUGGCGGCCACCGCCGUAACUCCCAAGCCGCUUCGCAACGCUUCUCAACCGAACGGCGACCUCUCUCCCAAGCGCGCCCACACGGCCCCCCCGGGUUUAGUUUGGGCUGGUAUUUGCACCCCCCCCCCGCCCCCCGCGCCCUCCCCCGCCCGCGACUGCGCCCGCCUCCACCCAUGCCAUCCUUGCCCGUACCACCCGCUCCCUGACGCACCUGAAGAGCGUGUAGAAGAUGCGCAGUCCGUCGUGGUGCUUGAGGUACCUCAGGCUGCGCAGCCCCGCAAUCAGGAACAUGGCCAGCCCCAUGUACAGCCACGCCGUGAACAGCUGCGCGGAGGAGGACAGCGAGGCCAGCUCCUGCGUGCAGCAGGUGCAGGCAGCCAGGGGCGGCGGUAGGUGAAGCGAAUUUUGUUGUGGAUCGGGGUUGCGGGACGAGGUGGGAAGGGAUGGGAAGGGAUGGGAAUGGCAUAGGGAGGGAAGGGAAGGGAGGGCAGCAAACGAGCAUGGCAUGCCGGGGCCGAGACGCGUGCCAGCGCGCGCCAUCCGCGACCACCCGCUUCCACGGCACGGCACCCACUUCGGACUCAUAGGCCCCCUGGUGAGCCCGGCCUGCUCCCGCCGACCCCUCGCAAACACCGGGCCCGGCCUGCUCCUUCCGACCUCCCGCCAACACCGGGCCCGGCCUGCUCCCGCCGACCCCUCGCAAACACCGGGCCCGGCCUGCUCCUUCCGACCCCAGCCAACGUACGCAGUUACGCACCUUUGCGCUCUGCGGGUAGCUGGCCAUGGCGGCGCGGGUGACGGCGUGCAGGUGCAGCCAGAUGCAGAUCCACGCCACCAUGGUCAGCUGGUGCAGGAUGUCCAUGCCGUGCCACGUGAAGGGGUGCCUGGGGUGGUGGUUGGGUGGUGGUGGUCGUGGUUGUGGUGGUUAUGGUUGUGGUGGUUGAGGUUGUGGUUGUGGUGGUGAUGGUGGCUGUCAACACGGUAAGCAGCCCGUCCGUGGGGAUUAGUGAGAAGUGAAGCAGAAGGUUGCAACGCGUGCCCAAGGAAGUUCCCAAGUACUCAUGAAAGUCGCCCAAGCGCUAGUAACCCCCGGCCCAGACAGGCACGCCCAUCACGCACCUGGAUCCCGAAACGAUGUAGGCCCACAGCCCACGUCCCUGCUGCCGCGCCAGCAGCACCGCGUGCACUGUGGCCACGAUGUCGGCGAUUGAGGCGAAGAUGACCAUCGCCAUGAAGAAGUUGCCUGGUGGUGGUAGGUGUGGAGAAGAAGCAAGCAUUUGUGGUGUUUGCAAGAUAUGAAGUUAAUGGGGUUGCAAAGUGAUUGGGAAAGCGGUACAGGACAGGAAAGGGCAGCACAGUGGGUUUGAUGUGCGCUCCUGGGCUGCGGUGGGACACGGGAAUGGAUGCGUGACGCGUGCAACGCCUUUGCAAGCGCCUCCAUUUCUGCACGCAGGCCCUCAGACACACACGCACCCGCAGGGCGCCAGUUGAGGUUGUAUGUGAGCGACAGCGUCCGCGUUUCCAGACGGCCGCGGUUCGAGUCGCGUGUGGCCUGUGUGAGUCGAGAGGCGAGCACUGGGGGGUGAAAGACUAUCGAGCACUAGCCAGCCCUAGCACGGUCAGGUCGGCCUGCGCUGGAGGCAUUCAGCUCCAUAAUGUCAGUAGACUCCCACCCUGGUGCAUCAUCAAUGUUGUCAACGAGAUAAGCCAAAGAGGGGACAUUGUCCAAUGCAGUCAGUCAUUCGGCUUCACGCCCGCCGGUUGUAUGGGUUUGCAAAGCUGCUAUCAAUGCCCCUAGGGAACAAAGGAACCCCCAUACGGUAAGAGCACAGGCGCCAGAGUCUUGUAUUUUGCACUAAGACUACAACCAACAGUAUGGAGGGUGAGAUUCACGGUAUCCGCUCACUGGCAUGCAUGCCAUACCCUGAACGCCCAUACCCAGCUUAUCCCGCCUCUUUCGCCUCCACUGCUUCCUCCAUCCCUCCCCCCGGACCCGACGCCCCCCGACCCGACGCCCCCCGCCCCUCACCUCCAUGUAGAACAGCACGUUGCUGUCGUUGUUGCGGCGGUCGUGUGCGUGCAGCCCCAGCUGCACCUGCGUCGCGUACUUGCCCACCACGCCGCGGCAGGAUCCCAGUAGGUAGGCCAGAGACUCCUGAGGUCACAGGUCGAGGCGAAAGGCAGGGCAGCACGUGGGGGAUCUUCCCCGCGCAUGACCAAACAUGUAAGCCCUGCCCGCCUAGCAAACACGUACAGCCCUCAGCCGCCACGCACGUACCCGUCCCGCGCUCCACACCACGCACACACGUCAUCUCCCCACCCCCGGCGCUCACCUUCAUCUCCUCCAGGCUGACCUUGCCCGCAAAGUCCGGCCACAGCCGCACCAGCUCCACCACCGCCCGGUUCUUGGCAUCCCGCCGGAAAAUGCGCGGCGCCUUCGCGGCCGCCCCGCCGCUGCCGGGGGCGCUGUAGCCUUUCACCGCGUCCUCCUGCAUGUAGGCCCGCAGUGUGCGCGGCAGGCCCGUCUCCGGGUGCGCGCAAAAGCAAGCGCUGCCAGCGGCACCCGCCUGCUGCUCCGAUCCGCCGCCGCCGCCGCCGCCUCCCCCGCCGCCGCCGCCGCCCGCGAUGGGGGCGCAGCGCCUGUGCGAGUACACAGGGGAAAGGCAGCUUUUGGGGAUGGCUGGUGGGUGCCUGGGUAGGAACUAGGAGGACAGGUGUGCACACACGCGGCCAGCAAGCAAGCAAGGGGCAAGGGGCAAGGGGCAAGGGGCUAGCAUGGGCGUACGAAACCGCAGGUAGCGCUAGGCGAGCUCCAGGACUCCUGCUUUGCGCCAGCCAGCCCAGCAGCAAGCAAGGUGCAAGGCGGCGCUGCUGUGCCGCGGUAGCAGCAGUGAGUCCCAGCAGUAGGCUUGCGCCCUCACACACGCACCGAAUGUAGCCGGCGGCACAUGUCUUGCCAUCCGGCGGCAGGUCCAAAACUCCCGAACCUGCGCACGUCGCAAGGGGCGCGUGGCACCUGACUGUCCUGCCACCACCAGCACACAUCCUUUCCGUGCGCCCAUGUAAAGCUGGAAACGACACGUCUUGUUAACUUGUUAUAGGACUAGGCAACGAACCGGGUCCGCUCGUGCACCACAUACAGCCACGCUUGACCCAGAGCUGGACUACCGGCGUAUUGCCACCACCCAAGCCACACACACGCCGCGCUCGCACCACUCCCUGACCUCCCUCCGCUGCAGCAUGCUCGCCCCAGCUAGCUAGCUAGCUGCCCUUUUCCCCUGACCCCUUCACACACACGCUCCCCCAAACCCCACGCACCGUCCCUACACACACACGCUCCCCCAAACCCCACGCACCGUCCCUACACACACAUGCUCCCCCAAACCCCACGCACCGUCCCUACACACACACUCUCCCCCAAACCCCACGCACCGUCCCUACACACACACGCUCCCCCAACCCCCACGCACCGUCCCUACACACACACUCUCCCCCAACCCCCACGCACCGUCCUCGUAGUAGUCGUACGGCUGCGCGCCGCCGCUGCCCGGCCCUUCCUUGCGCGUGAGCCGUCCCACCAGGUCCAGGAACGAGUAGUAGUCCACCUAGGUAGAUAGCGUGGGUAGUUAGCGUGGGUGGGUAGCGUGGGUUGGAGGGAGGCGAGGAGGGAGGUGGUAGCAGGCAAUAAAGAAACGUGGUCACGCGUGGCACCUGACCCCGUCCAAUACAUGUGGGGACCUGGCGUACAUGACUUCCAACCCACAUGGAUUUUGCAAGCCCCCGUUGUCACCUACCUCGAAGUCUGACAGCUCCUGACUGUACCGACUGUUGAACAACACGUUGCGGAUGUUGUUGGUCAGCGGGUCCUCGGGGCCGUCGGCAGGAUCCACGACCAGGGUUCGUGGCGACAGAUCCACGCAAUUGUCCGCAAGAUCCAGGAUCCCGGACGUGAGCUGUGAGGUGGGCAGCUGCUGCUUCACGCCCAGCAGCGGCACGGUUGUGGGCAGAUCAGACACGCCGCCACCGCCCGCCGCAGCGCCUCCCAGCGUGUACCUGUGAAGACAAGUUACAGACACUCUCAAUCGUUCUGCACAAAGCGUGCAGGUGCCACGCAAGCUCCCGGUACAAGGCACGUGACGGCGAGGCACUUGGCCGUGGCCCUCGCUUCGGUGCCGCACACGAUCAAUGCACCCACCUCCUCAGGUUGGUGUCAUCGAGCAGCGGCGUGAGGCUACCGCGCAGCUUCUGCAUAGUCUCACGCACUCUGCUCUUGGCGUCCGCAGAGGGGCAGGUGCUUGCAAACUUGAUCUGCACGAACGAAAUAAACGGCGUGUACGAAUAUGGCGUUUACCGCACGGUUCGUUGCGCGGAUUCAUUCACUGCCAAGCAAGGACAUGCAUGCGCGUGGCACACACGCUGCCGUACGUGUGUGGAGUUUGGAGGCCGGUGGGCGCGUGUGACAAGUCCAGUCUUGCCCCACCCCCGCCCCCUACCCCUCCGCCUACCCCUCCGCCUACCCGCCGCCCCCUCCUCGCUCCCGCCCCCACCUCCUCCUCCUCGCUCCCGCCCCCACCUCCUUCGCUCCCGCCCCCACCUCCUCCUCGCCUGCUGCCUACCUCCUUCGCUCCCGCCCCCACCUCCUCCUCCUCCUAGCCUGCCUACCUCCAGCUGCGCAUAGGUCACGUGCGCGAAGUCGCCCAGGUACAGGAAGCUGCCGGCCUCGGGCGCCACCUCGCCGGAGCUGCGCAGCGCGUUCUGCAGGUACCUGCUCGGAAAGCGGAGCGGUGCCGUUACGGCGUUGAUGGCGCGUUAUGCGUUGAUGGCGCGUUCUUUCCUGCUUAGUGCGGCUGUACUGAGUUUUUCAUGCCAGAUUAAAUAAAUGGCAGACCAAUGUUUGAAGAAGAGGUGGGGGCAUGGAGGUAAGACAGCUGAGCGGCGAGGGAGGGUGGGCCGGACGAGGCGCCUUGCUACUGCCAGGUAGGCACGCGUGUAACGCGCCAUGUAUGAACGUGUACGUGCACGCGCACGCGUGGUGCUCGCCAUCAAACUAACACAGGCGCCUCGCUGUGUCGUACAGCGGCAGUUUAAUUAACAACACUCACUGGAUCAUGUACUCGAAGGCUUCGGAGGUGGAGCCCACACCGUUGAGGUUGGAGGACUCCCAGGCGUUACCCGUGUCGUAGGACUGCGCGCAUGGCCAUGAGGUGUGGGCGAAUGGGAGGUGGGAAGCAGGAGGAAGCAAUUGUGAUUGUGAGCGUGCGGACGGCGGCAAUAAGGGACCGGGAACACAGCCCCGUCGCGAGUCAACAAAAUCGGCACAGGCAAAGCUGCAUUUGGUCCUUGCUCGCGAUCAUCUUCACAUACGGUAGACAGCAGCCGCUCCACCCCGCCCCGCCCCCUUCUUGAAUGCAGUAAACACGCCGCCCCCCUACCACCCCCCUCAGGGAGCAUCCUCGGCACCCUCACCGCGAAGGAUGCAAUGACGCUGCUCUUGAAGGCCGUGGCGCCGGUCUCGGUUUGGAACCUGAAUCCAGUUUGGCGGCGGAAGGCGCGGCACACAGUCGGAAAGGCGUACGUGCAGGUGUGGCCGUCGGGCCUAGUAAGCACUGCGCUUUGUACAUCCACUCCAUCGUCCCAUCAUCGCACCCCUACCCGCCCCGUUGCGACACUCACCACACAGCCAGGAAAGUGAUGAUGAAGAAGAUGCCGUACGCGUACAGCUUCUUGAUGCCGUGCCAGCUGUACGAAUCCAGCAGCGCGUUCUCCACGAACACGCACCCCUCACUGUCCCAGCCGCCUGCGCCGCUGCCGGGAAUGGUCCCCGCGCCCCGGGACCGCACGCGCUGUAGCACAGAGGGCUGCGGCUUGAGCUGCUGGGAUGACUGCGCCUCAGGCUGUGGCUUAACGGCGUCAUCGCCGCGAGCGCGCAGGGGCCUGGUUACGUUCGCAACAGCACCGUCUGCUGCGUGGGUGAUAUCCACAUCACCAACGCUGCCAGCGGCGCGCCCACCAGUGCCGUCGCCGGCGCUGCUACUGGGGGUAGCAUUGACGGCACCGCGGGGCUUUGGGUCAGCUGGCAGCUCCUUCACAACGUUAGGAGAGCUGGAGGCUUCAGUGGCGCCGGAGCCAAGGCCCGCCGGCGCUAUGGCAACGAUGCAUGCAUCGACCGGAUCGUCGCCGGCGCUGCUGCUGGUCGGCGUUGCUGUGGCGCCGUCAGGGCUGCUUGGUGCUGUCACGCCACUUGGGGCAGUGGCAGUAGUCUGCGGGUCAUCCUGGGAAAGAGCAGGAUGGGCAGGCGUAGCGGCAGCGGUUGGUGAAGAUGGCGCCGAGGCAUCGUCGGCUGUGGGGCCCUGGGGGCCGCCUGGCCCCGCCAGGUUCCCAGCUGGCUCCGCAGCGGCGGUUGGGGCACUCGGGCUCGCCGAGGCAGACGCGGCUUGUGAAGCGGCUGUAUUGGCCAGAAAUGGCCAUAUGUUUGUGGGCAUGCCUCACAACGCGCGCCCGCCGUGCCUGAGGCGAGUUGAAGCGCGACAUUGCGCGUCACAAACGUCAGGCGGCCGUGCAUCAUCGAGGCGGGCCCAAGCACACAAUGCAAAUGGCACAGUGAAUGAGCCGAUAACAACGCGCGCCCGCAAAACCGGUCAGGCAUGAACCGCGCCAACGGGCGUCUUGUCGCUGCCAACACAAGUGCAAGCGCUAUGCGAGGUAACUAUGCGUAGACAGCAAUGUUUUAGGCAGCUACUCACGUGCAGCAAGCGAGCAGCGCAGGUUGCUCUCACGCCCCGUGCGGCGCAGCCUUCCUAAAAUCGAAAAGAUAGGAGCCUAUGAUCUGUUGAUGGUGCAUAUGGCUAUCUGGUAGCAGCCUCAAAAUACGCUCUCAAAAUGGCUCAUCGACGACAAGAACGUUUAAGAUCCAGCAGCGUCCGGAACUAGCAUUUGGCUUGCCCGCAGAGCGCAAGGUAUCGCAUUCUCUGGCAUAUGGCUACAUGGAUUUUAGCAGCUGCGCGCUAAGCGAACUUCAUGCGGUCUGGUCGCCCUGGUGGAGCCAGCAGUGCGAAAGUAACCGCGAACCAUGGCACGAACUCAACUGAGCAGCAGUGCAAACUGAUUAAACAAACCAAGCAUGCGAGCGAAUGGAGGAAAACGGGUCGGGCUGGAAGUCUGUGCGAAAGUCAGCCAUUCCAGACCGUGUCUGCUCCCGCAUGCUCCAAGCAAUGAUCAGCACAAACUGUAAUACUGUGACGAGCUAUGCGGCCCUUGUUUGCGUCGAGACAGGUCGACAGUUUGCGAACCCACGAAUCCUAGGAUCAUGCGACGGGCUGAUAAAAUAUGAAAUACAGAGUGCAUUUUAUUAUGAGAUGUUAUCAUGCACACCAGGCAACCCUUCGCGCAUGCUGACGUGUCAAGGCCUCCUGGUCGAACGUCGAGACCUGGCUAGCAAAACAUGCGGCCUUACGGAUUGCAACUUACAUCGGUAUCCAUCACAUCAUGGCUGCUAGCGCGCAUAGCUGGCCAGUUUCAUCGGGGCUGAAAAGCGUCGCGGAGGGGCCGAAAAGUUUCGGUUCAAGGGUCGCCCCCUCUCGCGCGAUGGGCCGCAAUGAGACGUACAGCGCUCGGAGCGCGUAUAUAAUCACUGGAAUUGCAUGCACCGCAAUCACUUCCUCGAGCUGUCGCAUAGAUCGCCUUUGCGCUCGCAACUCCCCGUUGCUUUUGAGCCCUCGCCGCCCUCUGCGCCCUCCUCGCUGUAACGCAAGGUCAGUGUUUGUUUUUCACACCGUGACCGUGGGUGAGCAUGCAGUUGGCUCUGCGCCUGGGGCUUUGCGUGCAACGGGACCAGGAAUUGCGUCUGCACCCAGUUGUGGGCGUUGUGGGCGUUGCGUUGCAUACGGGCAUGUGGGCGCGCGUCGCAUGGUCUUGUGUUGUGUCCAUAGUCACAAUUGGCAUGGGGCGCGGGCGCGUUAGGCUGCAUGAGGGUGCUAGGCUGGUUACGGCCCGGUACCACAUUGCCCAGGCGCUUGCACUCGCACUCGCACAUGUUCUUGUUCAUGCUAACAACCGGCCGCACGGCCUCGGAUCACCAGGGGUGCUCCCACCAUGUAUUCGCACAGACUCGCGCGCUCGCGGCCGGCAUUGCCGGCCCGGGACGUGAUCUUGCGUUGCAUUGCGGGCAGCUGAGAAAGACCCUCACCACCGGAACGAGAUAAUGCUCGCGUCGGGAGUGUGUUUCCGUGCCUGCGCGUGCGUGCGUGCGGCGCCUGGCGCGGCUGACACCCUUCCCAUGGGUCGGCCGCGUCUGGCGUCCGCCGCCGCCGUCGCCUUCCCCCCCUCUCCCAUCUCGCCGGUGUCAUCUUCAGACUCGACAUUGCUAAUUGGCAUCGGCUUCUCUCGCUCUCUGGCGACGACUGCUGCGGCGCUGGCCUUAUCAUUCGGGCAUGUCACUGACGGUAAGUGAGAAGGCUUCGGUUUUGUGCCGUCAACUUCUAGGGUGUCUGCGCUACUGCGUAAGAUGCCGCCCUGCCUGCCUGUGUCCAGCGCUGGCUUCUUCCGCCCAUCCGCAACCCGCCCCUCAUCCUGCCUGCUUGCGGUGCUUGCGCGCGCAUUGGGGUCUCCUCCUCCCCCUCCCCUCUCUCCUCACCCCUUCCCGGGCCACGCUGCCUCCGUGCAAUGCGUUGGGCGGCACACAGCCCCUCGCAUCGGCCCGCGCCCGCGCUGCUCGCCCGCCCGCCUCCUCCCCCCUGCCCCUCCUUUCUCAACCUUCCAGAACCUUCUUCACCAAAGAUGGCCAUCAAGAUGAACCUCGCCUCCUCCAAGGUCGGCGCCAAGGCCUCCGCCAAGUCCGUCCGCGGCGCCCGCCUGGUGGCCCGUGUGGCCCAGCCCAUGUCCCCCAGCAGCGCCGCCACCGCCGCCGCCGAUGCCUCCAUGCUGGCCCGCGCCGGCCUGCCGCCCACCACCACCCCCUACGACGACUACAAGUUCGCGCCCAUCCGUGAGGCCGAGGUGAGCGCGUGAUCCUCGGGCGUGUAGGAGCAGUGCCGACCUUGGGCCAUAUUGCCUGCUUGGGAUCCAUCAUGCCAGCAGCUUGGGUUCUUCUUGCGUUUUUGCUUCCCUCCCAUCCCCCACCACAUCCCCCACCACCGUUCCUACCCCGACCCUUGUUCCCCCCCACCUUCCCCCCACCCGCUCGCCCGCAGGUCAACCGCGCCAUGACCCGCCGCUACUUCAAGGACAUGGACGAGUUCGCCGAGUCCGACGUGGUCAUCGUGGGCGCCGGCAGCGCCGGCCUGGCCUGCGCCUUCGAGCUGGGCCGCAUCGCGCCCCACCUGAAGGUCAGUCAGUGCGCAGGCUGAGAGGGUUAGGUGGAUUGUGCACGUUUGCUGCCUGCCAGCAGCGUGUAGGACGGCUUGGCUUCGAUUGAACAAGUGUGGGAAAGGUGGUGCGCUGUGAGUACGUGUGUAUGUUGCUUUCGCGCUGCCUCCUUCCCCGCUCCCUCGUUCCCCGGCCACCACCUCGCCGCCGUAUUCAUACGUCUCGUGUGCCCGCCACCCCAUCCUCUCUUCCCACUGCUCAGGUGGCGCUGAUGGAGCAGUCUGUGGCCCCCGGCGGCGGCGCCUGGCUGGGCGGGCAGCUGUUCAGCGCCAUGGUGGUGCGCAAGCCCGCCCACGAGAUGCUGGACGCCCUGCAGGUGAGGAGGAGGCAAUAUGAGCGAUCCAUUGUCUUCCAAGAAAGUUUCUUUGGUUGCCACUGUGGUCUUGCAUGCUUGCCCUAGCCCCCUAGUUAAGAGGCAUGUGGCCCGCGCGAUUCCCUCGCUCCCCCUUCUGACCCGGUCCCUUCCCCUCCCCUCCCUCUCACCUCCCCCGCGCCACUCGCCCCAGGUGCCCUACGAGGACGAGGGCCACUACGUGGUGGUGCGCCACGCCGCCCUGCUGACCUCCACCCUGAUGAGCCACGUGCUCAAGGUGAGGACACUGCAUGUGUUUUCCUGAACUUGUAAUGCUAUACGGUAUGCGUGAGCUGUCGCCACUAUGCCCUACUCCUCUCCGCGGUCUUGCUGUCUCCCUUACCUUUUCGUCUCUUCCCCACCUGUGUGCUGCACUACAGAACCCCAACGUCAAGCUGUUCAACGCCACCGCUGUGGAGGACUUGAUCGUGAAGCCCGACCCCGCCCUGGGCCCCGGCGGCCGCCGCGUGGCGGGCGUGGUGACCAACUGGUCGCUGGUGGCGCAGGCGCACGGCACCCAGUCGUGCAUGGACCCCAACGUCAUUGAGGCGGGCGUGGUCGUGUCUGCCUGCGGCCACGACGGCCCCUUCGGCGCCACCGGUGAGUUGCAUGUUUUUGUGUCCGGUACCUAUUUUCCAUUGUUGUAUGCGUGUCUUGUGUGUUUCCGACCCACCCCUGGCCUGCGCUCUCGCCUCUUGUUUCUCACCUGCUUUCUCACCUGCUGCUGCCUCCACCCGCCCCCGCUGCCUACCUGCCGCUGUAGGCGUGAAGCGCCUGGCCCGCCUGGGCAUGGUGCCCGGCGGCGAGGUGCCCGGCAUGGGCGCCCUGGACAUGGAGGCCGCCGAGGGCUCCAUUGUCAACAACACCCGCGAGGUGAGCUUGGAGAGGUGGUGUUGAUUGCUGUGUUACAUAGGCCGGAAACAGCAGAGGGCCGCUGUCGCACAGCCCGCGUCCCAGCUUCUUUUGGCCUUGCCUGUGCCUCUGCUUAUGGCCUCCCUCACCUGGCUCGCUGCCUAGUUUUCUUACGGUCUUGCGUUCCCCUCCCCUCUCCCCCUCGCCCGCCCCAAUCACACCUCUAUACAGGUGGUGCCCGGCAUGGUGCUGACCGGCAUGGAGCUGGCGGAGGUGGACGGCUCGCCCCGCAUGGGCCCCACCUUCGGCGCCAUGAUCGUGUCCGGCAUGCGCGCUGCCCACAUGGCCGUCGCCGCUCUGGAGCGCCGCCGCGCCCUGUCCGCCGCCGCCGCCGAGGGUGCCGCCGCCGAGGCCCAGGCCUAAGCGCGCUCAGAACCUACUGGGCUGCGGCUCAUAUUGGGGUUGUUGCAACCCGUGGCCUGGUGUGGGUCUGCUGGUCAGUGUUGGGGCUAGGCGCAAUAGGGCGUGGGUCGCUGGGCACUGCGUCGCGAUUUCGUCAGGCUCCGAUGUCUUGUGGCUAGCACGUUUUCGACCGUGAGCGCAUGUCGGGUUCCGGUCCGGUAGCAACGUGCAAGACUCGGGUUUUGUUGAUGGAAUGUGUCCACGGGUUGAGGUUGAACGCACUCGUACUGGCGCCUGGGAGUUUGCGGGAGGAGUUGUCGUGUGGAGUUCAGCUCGGUGCCCUAGCCGACUGGGGAGCGCAGCAGUGCAUGACGAACUCCGCCGAUGUGGAACCCUUGGGGAUAAAAUGAUGGAACGCGUGAACGGUGACCGAACGCAAGCGCACCCCACCACUGGCGCACAGACCCACGCCAUGAGCUCAUGUAACAAUUUGGAGUUGAGAGAAGAUACACGUGCCUCACCACUCUAGGCGAGGCAGUGACGAGUUCGUGGCCCUUUUUAAGAUUGGGACACAAGUGUGUGUGCGUGGGCUGACCCUCAGGCUGUCCGUUGUCAGCAGCUUCGGUAAUUCACA
rnacentral:lncRNA from 1 species